rnacentral:lncRNA from 1 species
GUCAAAAGAAGAAGAGAACUCCACCAUCUAUGUGUGUCUAUUUUCUUUCACGUGUGUUCACCCUAAAGCACAACAUACGAUGUGCCUCCAAAUCAAAUCAUUACUGGCGCGUAUACAAGAAUCGGCUAAUACAAUCCACACGGUGCGUGCCUUGCUCACUCGCACGUAAUAAUCUGCACCUGCACGCACGGCAACUUCUCCUCUCUAUACACAGUUUUGUGGUACAGAUUGAGCAGCGAUCGACUCUAACCCGUAGUACCCUCCCUAUACGCGCUGGAGGCGAACGAUGCUUAUUCAACGAGAGGAAGCGUGGACCAUCCAACCCCACCGUUUGUUUCAGGCAUCGUUGAAGGAGUCGUCGGUGGGCAUCCAGUACCUGUUGGUGAACCAGAGGGCGUCUGCCGCCACGGCGGCGCCGUCCUGGUUGCGGUGCCAGGCGUAGUAGGCGUGCGUCCGGUUCUUGAUGUCCAGGAUGGCGUGCCCGAAGCUCGCCUCUCUGAAGGCCGAGUAGCUCGGCUGCGGCUCCGACAUGCUGCACCAUCGAUCCCCACAAAACAAAUUAUUCCAAAGUACUCUUGAUCACUGAUUAGAGGAUGCAAGUUCUGUUCGAUCUUACUUGGUGGCCAGCCCUUCCUGGUUCCCCCCGUCGCCGAUGGUUAUGUAGACCGGCGCCGACUGGUCCGGGAUCGGAGAGCACAGCCCGUUUAUGAUGUUGUAUGCAACAUUUGAAAUCCUAUGCUGCAGCCACAGAGCAAAGCAGGCUCUAUGUAAGGAAGUCAUGACUGAAGUGUUGCUCUUAAGCAUAAGAAUGGAGCUAGCGCUCUGAACUAAUACAGCCAGUACUGGAUGCAAAAAUAAACAGAUAGAAAGAGCUGUGGGGAGAGAUAUUUGAGUCAUGAAACACAAUGAGAUGCACCGAAAAUUGCUCCAAUUUGAAAUCAAACUGAAUUCAACAAAAUGAUAAGUUAUCCUCGGAGAAUAACUUGGAAUGUAAACAAAGAUAGCAAUAGCAAGCAAGCCUUGGAGAGGAUUUGUCCACUUACUGUCCGUUCGUAGGCGUGGACAUGCCCUGCAAACACAAGAUCCACUUUGUACUUCACGAACCACGGCUCGUACAUCACUCUCAUGCUUUCACCUUCCAUGUAAUGGUAGUUGUAGCUGUUGUACCACGGGGCGUGCAUCAGAACGAUCAGCCAUGGCGUCUCGCUCCUGUUCACCUUGGGGAACUCAGAUUCAAGCCACUUGUACUGAGGGGUGUAUUUUCCUGGGAAAAAGCAACAGACCUGUCAACUCACCUUCAGCUUUGGUACUGGCUUAUCUGCAAAUAUGCCGCAGAUUCCACACUAGUAUAUGCUGAACUUGCUAAAACAUGGAGUCAGAAGAACAGAACAUACCGUAUGCGGAGUAUGAUGCCAGGACAAUGAUAUAUGCUGAGGCUCUUUUGAUGGAAUACCAGUAAGGUGCCGUGCUACCGGAAGACUUAUAGGGUGUGUGAUACCUGCUGCUGUAUGGCUUGAAUGGCUUCGUUUCGCCCUGCAAAUACGUGUGAUGUUCUUUUUUAACUAGCAAUAUGAUUUAUUAAAUGAGCUUUUAAAUGUAGCACGGUGUAAUUCAAUGAGCGCUUAAAUGUACUCCCUCCGUUCCUAAAUAUAAGUCUUUGUAGAGAUUCCACUAUGAACCACAUACAGAUCUAUAUAGAUGCAUUUUGAGUGUAGAUUCAAUCAUUUUGAAAUCUUUACAAAGACUUACAUUUAGGAACGGAGGAAGUAUAUAGCAUGGCUCCACUGGAUUGUUUUCUACUUGGUGCUUCUAUUUGAACUGUAAAAGCACCCACUGAAGCAUAAGAAAUGCGAAUAAAGUAUCAGAGAGAACAAUCCUUACAAGUUCCGGAGCAAAAUCUAUCUCGUGGUUUCCAGCUGUCCAGAUCCAAGGCUGGUAUGCAAGAUUCCGUUCUACAAAUCUUGCCCACGUAUCCCACCUUGUAUUAUCAUGAUAUGGGUAAUUAUCUGCAUAUGUCAGGUCCCCGACAAAAAGCACCGCCUGGGCUUCUGAAUUGGACUCGUAAUGAGCGAGCGUGACAUUUGAGUCGAAACUCUGACCGAGAUCACCUAAUCACAAUAGUAAAAUUCUCAGUAAUAUUACUCAUAAACCACAAUAGUAAAAUUAUGUUGGAGUUUAGACAUGAGCAUGCAAGCUAUAUCCUGAGCAAAUUACUCCCUCCGUUCCUAAAUAUAAGUCUUUAGAGAGAUUCCACUAUGAACCACAUACGGAUGUAUGUAGAUGCAUUUUAGAGUGUAGAUUCAUCCAUUUUGCUCCGUAUGUAGUCCAUAGUGGAAUCUCUACAAAGACUUAUAUUUAGGAAUGGAGGGGGUAGAUAAUAGUACCUAUCAGACCAAAUGUAUAUGGAACAUCUGGGCCACUUUUCGGAGGGGUCCUGAACCAAAACUUCCUCAGCGUCUCUUCAGUUCCAACGGCAUAGUAAUACUUUGUGUCAAACUGCAAUAAAGUUAUAAUUAAGUCCUGAAUCAAGAUUCCAGCCUUCAUAAAACAUAAGCAUUAAAUGUUUGCCGGGCCGGUAACCUUCAGCUUCUUGAUUGUACAAUGAUGAAUGUAUCCUGAGGUAUAUUUGUAGAACGUAUACUGCGAAUGCUUUCCCUUUGCAGAAUAGUUGAGAUUAUCUUCUGAAGUCCCGUAAAGUACUGUGCUUGAUCCAGGUUCCACUGUUGUCACCCACGGGAUUAUCAUGGCUGUACCUUCGUGGUCGCCUUGCGUGAUAUGAACCUGUUAGAGCACCUCAUCAAUCAGUAUGAGAGUGGAGAAUACACCAUGGAGCGUGGGCACGCGUUUUGUACUAUUUGUUUAUGCAACAGCGAUGUUAAGUAACUAUAUGGAGUAAGAAAUAACACACAUCAGUGUCAUGGAAAAGGCACCGAAUUAUAAAAUUGUGAACUAAGAUAAAGAAUGAUCGGAGAAGUACUUAUCAUGGAAAAGGGUGUCAUAGUAAUUAAUUCUAUGGAGUAAGACUAAGAAUAAAGAACUUCUUAGAAAGGGCCUCCACAACCAAUAAGCAGCAGUCGAACAGAAAUAUAUGAUGGCAGAGUAACCCCAAAGUUGCCUUUAGAACUGACUAAAGUAAAGAUGAGACGAACAACAAUUACUUUAAACCAUGAUCGCUGAUUUGUGAGGUUAAACUGUGGACUGGCAUUAAGUAAGUGUGGGAAGUAGCUCAAGAAGCACAGCACAUAAUUGGAAGCCACUGAACCCAUCCGCAGAGUAUCAGAGUACACUGAAAAUCUGCUACACAAUCACUGAGUUAACUGGAAACUGUUUCGAGACCAUGAGGUUAACUGGAAACUGUAGAUCUCCUGAGAGCAUAGCAUAGGUCAAUGAAACAGUAAAACAGUGAUUGUAUUUACACAUGUUUUUGAAGAAGUUUUCAUGGAGAAGCUGGUUUACACCAGAUACAAAAAAUGCACACUUAAUGAAUUGGAGAAACUGAACUUGUUGAAGCGCAACUGUGCCAACAACCAAACAUAAAGGAACCAUACGAAAUUUUCAGUAAUAGGUUGAGAGCGAUGACUAUCCACUUUAAAUAUCACAAAAGGCUCACUGGUAAACUGAUGAAAAGAACUAAAAAUGAACACAAGUAUAAGUCCAUUUAGGAGGCAUAGUUUAUGCAGCAGAAAUGCUCGAACUCAGGAAGAUAUGAGUUUAGAGGAGGAAAAUAAAAGUACUGAAAUGCCAAUCAACCGGAAGUUUUGGAGUCAUGCAGAAAGUCUUUGGCUGUAUCAUAGUAUCGACAAGUAACAGCUACUGUAAGACCAACAUGUAAAACAAGUACUGCAUGUAAUUACAGCUUGAGUUCACGACAACUGCAGGAUAUAUACCAACCACAUGGCGAGAAGGGCAAAUGAAUCCACAAUUAUAUGUUUCACUGAAGAAUAAGGACAGAAGAAUCCACGAUAGUAUAUCCAUCUCAUGCUUGCAAUUACCAGCUGUGUGGUCAACUGUUCGCCAAACGCCAGGUAGACUCUAGCCUAAACAGAUGGUAGUACUGUAUCAACGGAGGCAGAAGCGCAGUCUGCGGUUGGUUACCUGCUGCGGCGCAUUGUGGCCGGGCGGAGCGCGGAAGACGUCGGCGUCGAGCGGCAUGUCGAUGGCCUGGCCGAGCAGCCGCCGGUACUCGCUGGUCUGGCCGGCCCGGCAGGCGACGCCCAGCAGCAGGACGGCGCAGGCCACGGCCAGGGCAACCGCGCCGAUCCGGUUGGCCAGCCCCAUUCCCGCGGGGCUCUCCGCCUCCUCUGCUCCUCGCCGCUCUGGUUCUUGGUUUCCUUCCUGUCGCGGCUUCUUGGAGGUUGUACUCCGGGGACGGGAAUGGGAUCGCUUGUUCGAUUUCUUGACCGAUAAAUAGAGAGAGUUUUUAUGGUACCCUAUACCGCUGACAGUGGACGGAGCGGUAUAUUAAAAUCUAACCACUCAUUUUCUGAGGGUAGGAUAGACAUAGAUUUGUUGUCGUUGAACCUUAGCUACGUCGCCAGUCGGCAGAUAAUGGCAACCGGAAAUCGAUUUGUUGUCCCACGACUCAUCUACGGUCUCCUUCCAUCUCCUGCUCCUGUAGCUGGAGCCUGGAUGGAGGCGUCCCCCGAGUGGUCGUCCACCAUGACCUUCGACUCUAGCUCGUCUUCUUCGCCGCACACCCGAGGACCGCCGCCGACAUUAGCGUGCUCCCUUGCCGUCUCGUCUAUGUCCCCGGCCAUCUCGUCGCGUCUAUAGAGCCCGUAGUGAGCUGCCGCUCAUCCCCGCCUCAUUUUUCCCGUCGUUUUCAUCCACCAUAGCGCCCUGUCCGCCAUGGACGAGUCCCUGGAGGUCGUUCGAUCCAGACGCACACACCCACCCACGCGCCCGCCCAUCCGCAGUCCAUGCCCACAGGCCGCAGCAACAGCCGCAGUGCACGCGCCACAGCCCCGCAGUGACUGUUCCCGCCUCCUGCACGCGAGGAGCCCCGGAGCCUCGCCGCUUUCUGCGGUCAGCGCAAUCCUACAAGGCAUGCCGUGGCAGCCAGACACCAUGGUCUCGCCUGCCGGCCCUGCCGGCCGCCGUCGCGGACAAGCAGCGUGCGCCGGGAGGCAUCGCAUGUCUGGAAGGCGUCACCGUCAGUUUCGAGGUGCUCCACCUUGCCGGCCCAGACGUCCUUGCCACGGUGGUCCAGUCCAUGGAGGGCGAGAAGGCGGGUCGACGCGGCCGAGAAGGGGUGAUGCGGCGCGCACUGCUGGAGGGCAGGUCGACGGAGUAGACGAGCGCAAAGCUCCGACGCAGGGCACCUCCAGGGACGGGGGAGAGCAGCGGGGCGCCUGUAUAUACGAAGAUGAGGAAAGACUAGUCGCGGCCUCGCGGUGGAGCAGCGGUGUCGGCGCGGCGGGUCCUCCUUUAGCACCUAGCGGUAUGAGGAAAAGGAGGAGGGUGGAGGGACGGGAAAGAGCAGCGGGGCGUUGCAGUCAUCCUGAUUCGCCAUAGAUGGCCAGGCGCAUGCCGGCGGCGGCUUGAACUCACGUGGGCGCGGUGGGGAGCGAAAUGGGAGGGCGAGGGCGGGCCGGCGGGUGUGCUGAAACUGAAGCAUUUUACUUCCCAAAAUGCCCUCAGGACUUGUAUACUGGAGGAAGGGAACGAAGCAGUGCAAGUUAUACCGCUGGCCAUUCUAUUGCCAAAUUGCAGCAGUAUAAAUCGGUCGCCACCAUUAGAUUUCACAAAAUGGAUGGCCAAUAUUUGUCCCCGGGUACCAUAAAAGAGCUCUAAAUAAAGAUGGGUCAAGGCAAGAAGGCAGGAGAUAUGUAGGGGGAAUGGAAUAUGCUCAUCCGGGCUGCCAAGAAAUAAAAUCGGGGAUGGCGACCGCCGGCGAGCAUUGAUUGAUUACUUCAUGGUUUGAACUUCGAACACGCACGCGGGUUGAGGUGGGACGGGGAUUGUAGGAGCGGCCAGGUUGGGACUUGUCGGCGAUCGGAAGCCGCCAAGUGGAAGAGUGGGCCGGAUUUUGGAGGGGACAAGAACUUCAGUUGUUUUAUUUCUUUUAUUUUAUUUUUGCAGGCAAGGACCUUCAAGCAAAUGAUUUUAGGGCAGCACUGGGCGCCGGUGCGCCGGCCCAAAAUUUGGGCCGGUCGGCCCCAGCCUUCCGAUCCUUCCAGUGUAACCGUUCGAUCGAGCAGUAGUGCCUUCUUCCUCCCGAUGCAGAAACAUGCAGUAGUGCCUCUUCGCCCCUUGCUCCCCCUGGCCUCCUGCUUGCAGCUCCGCACGCUGGCUCGCUGCGCCGUCGCCGCUCGCCGGAACAACUCGUCGAAGCUCGCCAGAGCAGCUCGCCGGCUAGGCGGUUGCCGCGUUGGUGCCCCGUGUGGUUCUGCGCCUUCUGCCCUCCUAUGCAGCAAAAUAUGCUGCUGGUUCCAGCAAAUUAAAUCGCAGGUUGUAGCAUCAUGGUCGUUGCUCCAUUGUAACCGGCUGUAGAAAUUAUGACUGCCGGCCGCAGCUCACCAUGGCCUCUUGUAGCUUCCACCGACGCAGGUUGUAGCUUGCACAAAACACUGGUUGUAGCAAAAAAAAAAAAUAUUGUCGCCGGCGUUGGGUCAACAUACUCAUUGUGAAAACGGUUGUAGCAUUAGUCGACGACGCCACACCGGUUUGCAGCUCUGGUGUACGUGGUUGUAGCAUCUCCGUGAACUCAUUGUAUCUCCUGUGACAUACAGUUGUAGCAUGACGUUGCCCGCCUAAAACUCCGGUGAACUCCGGCGAACUCGGAUUGCAACUCUAACAAACAUGGUUGUAGCUUUUUUGGUGAACGGUUGUAGCAUUUGUCGACACACUUUGCCGGUUGUAGCUCCGGUGACACGCAUUGUAGCAUAUUUGCAAGCUGGUUGUAGCUUUUGUGGUACGUGCUUGUAGCAUUGGCGACUCCAUCAUCAGCAGAGCCUCGUGCAGCAACCUCACAUGCUGGUCAUGGUUCACCCACCCCGUUGCUCCUGCUGUUUGCAGCUCCUCCGCCUGCCGGUUGUAGCUCCUGCGUAGCCCGACGUAGCUUUUCCGUCCGUCGGUUUCAGCUUCCCCGUCGUGCUUCCUCCUCUGUCCUGCCUUCCCUGGUCCAUCUCUGUUCUUUGUGGCGUCGGGGAGCAGGAAGAAAAAGGCCGGCGAGCCAUAGGAGAGUGAUAUAAAAAAAGGAUCAGAUGGGGUCCGUCGAUGGAGGCCUUGCCGAAGAAGCCGCGGCGCUCGCCGGCCAGCGCCUGAGGUCACGGGGGCAGGGGGGUCAAAGGAGGAGCCGAGGAGGGAGGUCAAUGGUGGAAGGAAGAAGAUAAGGCAAAAGAAAAAAAACUGGAAGGAGGACGCGCAACAGACGGCUGGAUCAGGUGGAUCGAACGCGAGCAACGCGACCGGCCGAACGUUUCGGCCGGCGCGCUGGCAUGAAACGUUUUCCAUGAUUUUAUUUAGAGCAUGUACAACGACUUGGCAAAUACAUCCCCUCAAACGCCCGUGGAUAUGGCCGGCCACACUUGCGGGCGCAUCCGGACGGACCCUCAUAUUUCGGUCCCGACAUCCAUAUAUCUCAAAUUCGGACUCUCGAAUCCAUGCAAAUACAUGCACGUCGAUUAUACAAGACAAUGUCGCACGUAAAUAGCAAAUGUUGGUACGAAGCAUAGAUAGCGUUUACAUAAAAUUUAUAUUAAGUGCCAAACUCAAGCAUUGUCUCGUUGGUUGUCAUUAUGGGUCCACAUGUGCUCCACAAGAUCAUUGAGUAGUUGUGUGUGCACCUGCUGAUCUCGAAGAGUAUGAUGCAUCUGCAGAAAGUACAUCAGCUGAGCCGCAUCUUGAUCUCCUGGAUUUCAACUUGUUCUCCAGGUGCUUCAAAAUCAUGGGUUUGGACUACACCAUCACCCUCAUCCUCGGCAAUCAUAUUGUGCAGAAUAACACAACAUGUCAUCAGCUGUCACAAAGUUUCUUAUUCUCGCAUCAUUGCAGCGCUCUGCACAAUUCCCCAACGAGGUUGAAGCACACCAAAUGCCCUCUCCAUAUCCUUCCUAACCGCUUCCUGCAUUGUUGCAAAAUGGCUCUGUUUAUUGCUACGCGGCUCGGAUAUGGUCUUCACAAAUGCCACCCACUGAGGAUAGAUAACAUUGACAAGAUAGUAGCCCAUGUUGUAGUCUCGGUUGUUGACGGUGUAGUUGCACGACGGUGAUUCCCCAUUUCAAAGCCUCCUGAACACCGGAGAUCGUUGAAGCACGUUGAUGUCGUUGUGAGAACCCGGCAUUCCAAAAAAAGCAUGCGAAAUCCGUAAGUCAUGUGAUGCCACCGCUUCUAGUAUGGUGGUGGCCUCUCUAAUGUGACCUUGAUACAUUCCCCGCAGACCUUUGGGGCAGUUCUUCCAUUGCCUCUGCAUGCAGUCAAUCGCUCUGAGCAUUCCUGGAAACCCCCUUGCCUCUCCAAUAGCCAACAAUCUAUGUCCUGCACAUUUGGUUCUCUGAGAUACUCAGGUCCAAACACCUCUACCAUGGCGCGGGAAAACUUAACAGCAGUCUUCAGGCAUGUGCUCUCCCCAUCCUGACCAUCUCACCAACGGCAUCUGCAGCAGUACCAAGUGCAAGCAUCCUCAGAGCAGCCGUGCACUUCUGCUUGGCCGAGAAAGAGAGUUGGCCGCAGCAAUCCCUUGUGAGCUUGAAGUAGUCGCCGUGUGCCUCUACUCCCUCCACAAUGCGCAAAAACAAUGGUUUCCACAUGCGAAAAUGGCGACAAAACCAUGGAUCAUCCGAGAAAGUAGGUUUGGGAGCAAAAGUCCUUGUGCAAUAGCUUUGCUCCGGACAUCCUAUCCCGGUUGAUCACUUUUCUCCCUUUGAUUAAGCCUUUGAAGUUGAGAAUAUGCUCCACUUGCUGGUCCAAUUUCUCUUGCAUGCUCAUGAGCAUAAUCAUGUCCCUUCUUCGUCCGAAUCCAACAAAUCGAAGAACUCAUCUUGAAUCAUUUGGACAAGCUCCGUCGGUCCAUAAUCCUUAUCCGACGAAGCAUCAAAAUCCAUCGUUUUACCUAACAAAAUCACAAAAAAUCUGGUCGAACAAUAUGUCGAACACAUCAAGCGCAAGGCGGGAGCCAAAGAGUUGUCGGAAGUACCAGGGUGGCGUCCGGGCCAACGGCGACAUCCCCCGCGGCGAGGACAGGAGGGCUCUUCUGGAGCUAGCGGUGGAGAGCCUCAGAUCUACUGCAUGGCUGGCGGAGUGCGAGACGGAUGGCGCAGAGGAGGAAGAAGAGAUGAGAUAGCAAAUGGAUCCGGCUGGUCUUCGUGGUGGAUUUGGUGCAAUUUGGCGGUGGGGUCGGGCUGUCGGGUCUGACGUGGUGCGCGUGCGCGGUGUAAGGGCAUUCUUGUCCCUUAGUAGUUUUGGUGAUUGAUGACAAUGCUUUUGCGGACUAAUCGUGUGUAUUGAGCUUUUCAGAUAUAUCAUGACUAAACACAAGACGAUUUGAUGACCCUCGAAGAUUAUUGAAGAUCGGUUUCUCUACGGUUCUUUUCGGUGGAGUUGAGUCAUAGGAAAGCCGUACUAUUAAGAGGGGGUCCGCUUUGGAAAGAUUUGGGUGGAAUCUCACGUACAUGUCCCUUUUGCACCGCCUUUCCUUUGGCUCUUUGGAGUUUCCUCCAUCUCACCUUGUCUCUGCGAAAUGAAGGACUCCGAGUUACCCUUCUCAGGCUGGCGGUAGUAUUGCUCCUCUGAGCGGUACUACCGCAGGAGCCAGUGGUAGUACGAGGCUCCGGCACGGCAGAACCGUGGGCUUCCACGGUAGUACCACUCCUCCUAAGCGGUAGUACCGUGAGUUCUGGCCUGGCGCUGCUGCUCAAGCGGUAGUAGGGGCGGAUGUAAUUUUUUACAUCCGCGCCCUACGCGGUAGUACCAUGCUGCGGCGCGGUAGUACCAUGUCGCCAGGUCAGGUACAACAGCAGGAGCGGAGGUAGGGGCGGAUGUAAUUUUUUACAUCCGCACCCUUCACGGUAGUACCGCACCCCUGGUUCUCGGUAGUACCGUGUCGGAUUUUUGCAUCGAUAAAAUCUCAACGGAGGUAGUCACGGAUGUAGGGCUAGUUUGGUUCACAUCCUUGGCUCCUUGCCUGGAAAAAUCCGGUGCCUGGCGUUGGCCUGGUAAAGACAUGAUUUCCUGCCUGUCCAGGCUAGCCUGGCAGCUGUGCUUUUGGUUCGUACCCUGGCAGGGUACUACAUCAUCGAGUCAUCCAGCGAAUAAAAAAUUCUUAAGCAAAGGUUAGGCGUGCUGUGGCACGUCCAGGCAUAAGGAAUUGGAAGCCUGGGCCAGGCAAAUCCUAUUGCCUGGGCUAGGAAUCUUUUUUAUUCUUUAUUUUUUUCAACCUGACCAGGCUAAUCACAUUGCUGAGCAACCCAGGCCAGGCAUGUACUUUCUUUCUCAGGACACAAACAAAACAGGGACCAGGCAUGCUUCAGGCACCCAUCCAGGCCAGGCUUGUGGUGGUGUGGACACCAACCAAACACACCCGUAAUUUUUUACAUCUGUGCCUACCGUGCCUGGACUGUGGCUGCCCUGCGGUAGUACCUCACAGGGUCGUGGUAGUACCACGCCUGCGGUUCUACCGCACCCUGUCUGUGCUCUUCUGUUCAGGUCCAGGCUCUGUCGCGCCCAUGGUAGUACCGUGGUCCACCGCGGUAGUACCGCAGGCCCGUGCGCUAGUACCGCUCCUGUGGUGCGGUAGUACCGUGGGUCGCAGCCUGAGUGGUGGGUAACGGUUGGAAUUGUCCCCCCACUAUAUAAGGGGGUCUUCUUCUCCAAGAAGACUCGCCUCUUCCAUCCCUAAGCUCCAUUGUUGCUCCAAGCUCCAUUUUCACCCGAUCUCUCUCCCUAGCCAAUCAAACUUGUUGAUUUGCUCGGUAUUGGUUGAGAAGGCCCCGAUCUACACUGCCACCAAGAGAAAUUUGAUUCCCCCACUAAUCCCUAGCGGAUCUUGUUACUCUUGGAUGUUUGAGCACCCUAGACGGUUGAGGUCGCCUCGGAGUCAUAGUCCAUUGUGGUGAAGCUUCGUGGUGUCGUUGGGAGCCUCCAAUUAAGUUGUGGAGAUUGCCCCAACCUUGUUUGUAAAGGUUUGGUUGUCGCCUUCAAGGGCACCAAUAGUGGAAUCACGGCAUCUCGCAUUGUGUGAGGGCGUGAGGAGAAUACGGUGGCCCUAGUGGCUUCUUGGGGAGCAUUAUGCCUCCACACCGCUCUAACGGAGACGUACUUCCCCUCAAAAGGAAGGAACUUCGGUAACACAUCCUCGUCUCCACCGGCUCCACUCUUGGUUAUCUCGCGCCUUUACUCUUGCAAGCUUACUUCUGUUAUAUCCCUUGCUUGCUUGUGUGCUUGUUGUUGUUGCAUCAUAUAGGUUGUUCACCUAGUUGCAUAUCUAGACAACCUACUUUGAUGCAAAGUUUAAUUUGGUAAAGAAAAGCUAAAAAUUGUUAGUUUCCUGUUCACCCCCCCCCCUCUAGUCAACUAUAUCGAUCCUUUCAAUUGGUAUCAGAGCCUCGUCUCUUUAUUAAGGACUUUGCCGUCCGAAGAGUAUGCUUGACACCGUAGACGGUGGGGAGGAGGAGCACUCCGGUGUGAAUCCGAUCUCGUCUACGGGUGAUGGGGAAACCUCGGUGUCCCGUGAGGAAUUCAAUGUGGCCUUGGACACAUUGAAAACCUCCAUGACAACCAAGGUUGAAAGCAUGUUUAAUAAAUUCUUAGAAGGACUUAAACUACCUACCUCGCCGUUGAAAGUGGGUGAUCCCGCUAACAAGGUGACGGAUGCUAACUCUGACAAGGGCGAAGCUAAUAGUGAGAAGGGUCCUUCUACUAGUGGUAGAAAUGGCACCGACAUCUUUGCCCAUGUGGAACCUCCAACUUAUGGAGGACCGAUUCCUUCUACUCAUUUAUAUCAUGCCGGCCCUCCUCCUAAGAUUGUGAAAAAUGAGGAUUUUGAUUAUUGGGUGUAUCGCUUCAAGCAACAUUUAAAUCAUGUGAAUACUAAUCUUUGGAGAACCAUUGAAGAAGGUUUCUAUCCACAUGACUGAAGCAACUUCACCCCUAGAGAAGCAGUGGAUAAUCAAUUCAAUGAGAAUGCUCUCUUCAUCAUCCAAGAUGCUAUCCUCCCCGAAGAUCUCCCUCAUCUCCGACCCCAUGCCAUGGCCAAGGACGCAUGGCAAUGCAUUGUGUCUCUCUAUCGGGGAAGUGCAAGCAUUCAACGCUCCAACUAUGAAGUGGUGCAAGAUGAAGCCGAUGAGUUUGCAAUGAAAGAAGAUGAAGAACCUCGUGAGCUCUUUCGGAGAGUAACCAAACUCGCGGUCUCACUCCGAGAUCAUGGGAGCAAGGACACGGAUGACAAUUGGAUCAAGCGCAAGUUCCUCAAGGCCAUGAUGCCCUACAACAAGGCCAUGUCCUCCGUCAUUCGUCAAAGACCGGACUUCCACUCCAUGACCUCAAGUGAAGUGUUGGAUGAGUUCGUUGCAAUGAGCAUCUUGGACAAGACCGCCGACAACGCGGUGCUCCGCUCUCAAAGGGCAAAGAAUCCCAACCUUUCCUUGAAGGCCAAGGUUAUUGUGGAAGAAGAGGAAGAAUAGGAAGAUGAGGAGAGCAACCCCGAAGAUACAAAAUAUGAUUAUCAUGAGCACAUGGCUCUUGCUUCAAGGCAAUUUUGGAGCAAGAAGAACUCAAGGCCCAAUUUCAACAAGACCAACUCAAGUGGCUUCAAGGGCAAGCAACGAGUAAGAACUUGUUACAACUAUGGCAAUGUGAGCCAUUUCGUUGCGGAUUGUCCUUACGAGAAGUGGGAAGACAAUGGUGGCAAGCUCAUCCGAAAAGACAAAGCCAAGUCCUUCCCCAACAAGAACAACUUCACCAAAAAGACUCCUACUCGAGGGUUGGUGGUUCAAGAAGAAUAUCGUGAGGAUGACGAUGAUGAUGAAGAUAGUGAAGCAAUGGCCAUGGCAUCCGUUGCCAUUGCCACAACUCCCCGGAUGUCUCUAUUCGAUUCACCCAACGAGAACAUCACCGCCAAGUGCCUCAUGGCCAAAGCCUCUAACAAGGUAACCCCCAACAUCAAAACUACCAUCAUUACUAAUCCCUCUUUGACGGGUUGCAUUGAUGAACAUGAGGGGUCUAAUGAGGAUGUGAAUGAAUUUGAGUCCUUUAUGAUUAAGCUCAAGGGAAAAUCCAAGAAGCACUUUGUUGCUCUCUUGGAACAACUUGGUGAAGCCAAUGACAUGAUCGAGGCUCAUGAAGAAACCAUCUCUAAGAUGGAAGGUCAUAGUCGUGACUAUGCCGAUGAGAUUUCGGAUCUCUCUGAUGCUCUUAAGGAAGAGCGUGGGCAUCAUUUGGCUCUUGAGGAGUCACACAACGAUGACCAUGCUAAGUUAAAGAAAGAUCUUGAUCAUGCACUUGUUGUGUCUCGUGUGCUAACUUCUGAGAAGGCUAAACUUGGGGUUGAUCAUGCUAGACUCAAGGAGGAGUUUGAUGUACUUGACAAGGCCCACAAAGUCUUGAAGAGUGCUCAUGCUAACCUCAAGGAGUCUCAUGCUCAACUCCAAGUUAAGCUAACCAAGGAAAAGGCCACCUUUCCUCAUAUGGUAUUAAUUGAUAAUGCAUAUGCUACUAACCCGUGUUGUGAGCAUGUGCAUCUUGUGGAGGAGAAUGCCAAGCUGAAGGAUCAACUUGAGAAAAGGCCUUGUGACAUGCAUUCAAGGUGAGAAGAACCUCAAUGACCUUUUGAGCAAUCAAAAGGAAGUUGUGGCCAAGGAAGGAAUUGGGUUCGCACCCAAGUCCAAGAACAAGAAGAAGAACGACAAGACCAAAUGACCUCCUCCUCUCAAGCAAACUGUUGUGAAAGAGGGAGAGGGUGCUCCUAAGGAGAAUAAGAAAAUUGUGAAGGGUGUUGAUGUCAAAAAGGGCAAAACCACCUCCUCCAACAAAGCUGGCGACUUUAACCCAUCAUAUGUGUUGUGUUGUGCCGUGCUAGUGAUGGGCAUGUUUAUGCUAAAUUUGUUGGUUCUCCUUAUGAGUACAUUGAAUGGUCUAUUUGGGUUUCUAAGACCCUUGUUACUAACAUAAAAGGACCCAUUACAAAAUGGGUACCUAAAACCAAGCAUUGAUCUCGUGUAGGUGUUUGCUUCCGGUGGGGGAUCAUAGUUGCUUGAUAGUGGAGCAACGAAUCAUAUGACCGGAAGCAAGGACUUGGUGGUGGACGUGCACAAGAUUCCUUCUAUGCCCACCAAUGUCGAGUGGGGUGAUGCCUCGUCUUCUAAGGUAUUGGGUCUUGGCAAGGUUGUCAUUUCUCAUGAUCUAACGAUCGAGAAAGUCAUGCUUGUUGAGUCCCUUGCAUUUAAUCUUCUUUCCGUUCGUCAACUUGCACUCAUGGGCUUUGCCACUUUCUUUGAUAUUGAUACCGUGGCCCUCUUGUGAAGCAAGACUCUUAAAGUAGCCUUUGUUGGGCAUGUCGAGAAUGGUCUUUAUGUGAUUAACUUUUCAGAGCAACCCACUGAGACCGCGACAUGCCUAAUGGCUAACGUUGAUGUGGGAUGGCUUUGGCAUCGCCAUUUAGCCCACGUCAAUAUGAGAUAUUUGCAAAGUCUUCUCAAGGGGGACCAUGUCCGUGGACUAACAAAUGUUAGUUUUGCCAAAGAUCGUGCUUGCAGUGCUUGUAUUGAAGGAAAGCUUCAUGAGAAGGCUCACCCUCCCACGACUAUCAUCUACUCGAUGAGACCCUUGGAGCUCCUUCACAUGGAUCUUUUUGGGCCUCCAUCCUUUGAUAGUCUUGGAGGUAGAAAGUAUUGCUUGGUGAUUGUGGACGAUUAUUCAAGAUACACUUCGGUAUAUUUCUUCAAGAGGAAGAGUGAAACUCAACGAACCGUCAUCGACUUUGCAAAUGAAGCUCAACGUCAACAUGAUGCAAAGAUCCUGACAAUAAGAAGUGACAACGGCACCAAGUUCAAGAACUACACCUUGGAUGAGUUUCUUAGUGAUGAGGGGAUCAAGCAUCAAUAUGCCGCACCAUAUACCCCUCAACAAAAUGGUGUUGCGGAGAGGAAGAACCGGACAUUGAUGGAUGCGGCAAGGACCAUGAUGGCGGAGUUCAAGUCUCCAUACAACUUUUGGGUUGAAGCCAUCAACACAGCAUGUCAUGCAUCCAAUCGGCUCUAUCUCCGCCAAGGCUUGAACAAGACUCCUUAUGAAAUACUUACCGGUAACAAGCCCAACCUCAAGUACUUCCGGGUGUUCGGGUGUAAGUGUUUCAUUCUCAAGAAAGGUGUUCAUUUGUCUAAAUUUGAGGCUAGAGCUUAUGCUACAAACUCUCAUGCUUACCGUGUCCUCAACAAGUCCACCGGACUCAUUGAGGAGACGUGUAACGUGGAGUUUGACGAAAAUAACGGCUCCCAAGUGGAGCAAAGUGGUACUUGUGAUGUAGGUGAUGAAAUCCCUCCCCAAGCCAUAAGAAGAAUGGUUAUUGGUCAUAUUCUACCCAUUGAGGAACCCCUUGUGGCCGAAGGAGAAGGACAAUGCUCCACUCUAGUGGAGCCAUCACCUCCCCAAGACCCACAUACUUCCCAAAAACAAAGUGAAGGCCCUCAACCUCGUGAACAAGACCAAGGGCAAGAUCAACCUCAAGAUGGUGGUGAACCACCAAAUGAUGCCCAAGGUCUAGUUCUCCCCCUCGAUAAAGUUCAAGAUCAAGAGCAAGCUCAAGAUCUAGAACAAGCUCAAGACGACGCUCAGGAUAAUCAAGUUAAUCCUCCUCCUUCCACAUCCGAGGAGGAACUAGAGUGUCAUGUCGUGAAGAUUGCUUCCAAGCUCACCACCCAAGGUCAUCUCAUGGAGAACGUGGUUGGAAUCCUAAGAAAGGGGGUAAGCACUCGUAGACAAUUAGCAAACUAUUGUGAACAUCACGCGUUUGUCUCUUGUGUUGAACCCCAAAAGGUCUAUGAGGCGCUCAAAGAUUCGGAUUGGCUCAAUGCCAUGCAUGAAGAACUCAACAACUUCGAGUACAACAAGGUGUGGAUAUUGGUGCCAAGGCCGUCGGGGAACCGCAACAUCAUUGGAACCAAGUGGAUAUUCAAGAACAAGCAAGAUGCUCAUGGGAACAUCAUUCGCAACAAGGCAAGAUUGGUAGCACAAGGCUACUCCCAAGUCGAGGGUAUCGACUACCGUGAAACCUUUGCUCCCGUUGCUCGCCUUGAAUCCUUUCGUUUGUUGAUUGCUUAUGCUUCCCAUCACAACUUUAAGUUACAACAAAUGGAUGUGAAGAGUGCUUUUCUUAAUGGUCCUAUUAAUGAGUUGGUUUAUGUCAAGCAACCCCCCGGGUUCGAGGAUCCCUACUUCCCGGAUCAUGUGUAUCAACUCGAUAAGGCACUCUAUGGCCUUAAUCAAGCCCCGCGUGCGUGGUAUGACCACCUUACCGAGUUGUUACAAGAUCGUGGAUUUGAGGUUGGGCAAAUCGAUCCCACUCUUUUUACUAAGAAGGUCAAAGGGGAGUUGUUUGUAUGCAAACUAUAUGUUGAUGAUAUUAUCUUUGGUUCCCCUAACAAAGCUUUCAAUGAGGAAUUUGCCGCUCUCAUGACCUCUAAGUUCAAGAUGUCUUCGAUGGGAGAGUUAAAGUUCUUCCUUGGUUUCGAUAUCUAGCAAAGAAGAGAAGGUACCUUCAUCAACCAAGCCAAAUACACUCAAGACAUGCUCAAAAGAUUCAAGCUAAGUGAUUUCAAGUCGGCUUCUACUCCAAUGCCUACCAAGUGCCAACUUGACAUUGAUCCCAAUGGUAAAGCGGUGGAUCAAAAGGUAUAUCGCUCCAUGAUUGGCUCCUUGCUUUACCUUUGUGCAUCUAGACCGGAUAGCAUGUUGAGUGUGGGAAUAUGUGCACGGUUUCAAGCCGCACCGAAGGAAAGUCACUAUGUGGUGGUCAAACGAAUCUUUCGAUAUUUGGCUCAUACCCCAAACUUUGGCUUAUGGUACCCAAGAGGAGCAAACUUCAAGCUUGAAGGAUAUUCGGAUUCCGAUUGGGCGGGAGACAAAGUGGAUAGGAAGUCCACUUCCGGAGGGUGCCAAUUUCUGGGUUGCUCUUUGGUAAGUUGGUCUUCCAAGAAGCAAAGUUGUGUGUAACUCUCGUCCACCGAAGCGGAAUAUGUGGCGGCCAGUAGUUGUUGUGCUCAACUCUUAUGGAUGAGGCAAACUUUAAAGGAUUACGGUGUCAUUUGUGACAAAGUGCCUCUUUGGUGUGACAAUGAAAGUGCCAUCAAGAUUUCUCUCAACCCGAUGCAACACUUCAAGACGAAGCAUAUUGAGAUUCGGUAUCACUUCAUCCGGGAUCAUAUUAGGCGAGGGGAGAUCGAGCUCAAGUAUGUCAACACUCAUGAUAACCUUGCAGAUAUUUUCACGAAGCCCUUGGAUGAAGCAAGAUUUCGCAAGUUAAGGUAUGAGCUAAAUAUCAUUGAUUCGAGCAAUGUGACUUGAACCCUUGCACAUCCCACCACACUCAACUUGUUGUCUAGUUUAGGUGUAGGCAUGGACAUAGGGGGAGUGUUGUUCUCUCAAUGAACUCUCCCUCCCCCAAUUAUGCAUAAAUUGAUCAACUCUUUCACAUUAGCCAUUUUUAUGGUACUUGUGCUUCAAAGACGAGUUUUGGUCAUGGGCCCAAGGAUAAUUCUUCGCGGUGCCAUACCAAUUGACUCAAACAUAGGUGGCUCCAGCCACCGCCCUCUCCUUGGAGAGGUUGUGUCUCGUGGUUGGUCUUCGUUGUCUUGUGCUUUCCUCUUCCCUGUGCCGAGUUUGUGUCAUCGUUUGUGUUUGCCUCUUUGUUGUUCGGUGUUUCCGAAGGAUGUUUUGCUUUUGCUCUCUUUCUCUUGUGUGAAACUUGCACUUUCUUGGGUUAUGGUACUACCGUGGCAAGCCACGGUACUACCGCAGGAGUUGGUAGCUUUGCGCUUGCUCAGUUGCCUCCCAGGGGCACGGUACUACCGCUACCACCGCGGCAGUAAUUUUUUACUGCCGCUAGAAGAGCGGUACUACCGCCCAGCGCGCGGUACUUCCGCCCGGGCGGUACUACCACGAUGACCCGCGGUACUUCUGUGCCCACGCGAGCAGGUGGGGGUUAAGAGCGAGACAGGGGGAGUUCUAACUCCCCCAUACCCAUUCAUCUCUAUUCCCCACGCCGUCUCUCUCUCUCUUUCCUGCCCAAGAACGGCGCCGGAGGUCUUCGUCGGAUCUCCGUCUCUGGUCGCUCUCCUCGGAUUCCGACCGGUGGGACCGUUCCCCAACUCGCCCUCUUGCCAUGGACCAAGGUUUUUCCCCAAGUUCCUCUCCUUUUCGUCCUUCCGUGCUUUUAGGUCUUGGGGAGAUGCAUGUGGUGUUCUUGAGAUUUUUGGCUAAAUCUGUGCAAAAGGGAUUCGUAGGGGCGUGGUAGUGUAGUAAGCAUGCUCUUUGGAUAGGCAAAAUAGUUCCGGUUGAUCAACGGUAGUACCGAUGUAGUCGUGUGGAGGUUCUAGAUCCAGAUCCGCAACUCUAUGUCGUGUUUCUUGAUCCGCACGGUACUACCGCUCCUCCUGGAGCGGUACUACCGCAGCCUCGCCUGUAUCUGGCGCCAUGCGGUACUUCCGUAUCUUGGUGCGGUACUACUGCUUGGCGCCCGGAAGUAAAAAAAUUACUUCUGCCCCAGGCGCGGUACUACCAUGCCACCCCGGCACGGUACUACCACGGCUGAAGCAGAUGUAAUUUUCUACAUCCAUACACUGGCCCGGUACUACCGUAGAUUCAUCCAGCGCUCUUUUUAUGUCCAGAUUUCGUGCUUAUUUGUUUCCUUCAGCUUUGGCCUUUGUCUUUUGCAUUGAUCUGUCUUGUUUCUCGUGCGUGUUCUUGUGUUUUGUGUCUAGGUGGUGGCUCCGGUUCUCUUGCUCGUCACUCGAAUCCCAGACGUGACACAGGGUCAAAGCAGCUGCGCAACCCAAAUGAAGCUCCAGAGGGGUCAUCUGCUUCCCAACGCAGGACCAAGCACACCGCCAACAAGCAGAAGGAGCCCGUCAUGGGCAUGGAUGAGAUGCCCCAGGCCGAGUUUGUCAUUCGAAGGAAGCUCAAUCCCUAUGUGAAUCCCGGGCUAACUUGCGAGGCAAUGAUCUCUUCUGGACCAAGCAGCAGAAUCUGAUCAAUCUGGAUGUGAUCAAGGCCAAGCAAAACCUCUAUGUGGAAGUUCACUAUAUUGACAUGCAUCAUAUGAGGCAGGACAAGCACCGUGGGUACUUUGGAGAGGCCUUGGAUCUAGUGGAGCAGUUCGGCAUUGAGCACUUGCUCACCUUCCACAAGGAUUUUGAUCCAGAGAUCAUAGCACGGUUCUUUGCUUCGGUCUACUUUGGCGUCGAUGAAGCAAGGACCAUGACUUGGAUGACCAAUGGUCGCUGGAUGUCUGCUACAUGGAAGGAGUUCAUGGAGUUGCUUAACGUUCCAGAUAAAGGGCUCGACACGCCAGUUGGAGUUCGCCCUCAUGCCAACUCUGAGUCUGCCAACAAGAACAAGCUCAUGCCAUUCCUUGUUCAGAAGACUCUUCCCAGCAACAAGAAGGUGUGGGUGCUUAACCCCUUCCUUGACAUCAUGCAUCGGCUCUUCCGGAAUACCCUCUUCCCACGCAUUGGUGACAUGGGCCAGGUGCAUGCUUACCUUGUUGACAUGAUGCUCCUUUGUGAGGAGGCUCGUUAGGCUCAGACUCAGCCACUUGAUGUCUCACAUAUCAUGUGGUGUGAGCUUUAGUUCGCCGUGUUCAACCGUAAGGUCCCCAUCUAUGGGCCUUACCUAUUUCACCUGAUCUCUAAGCUUGGGAGAAGCACUUUCCCAAUGAUGAGUUUGAAGCUCUAGGUUGGAUUCGUCAUGAGCCCAUCAGGCUCCGCAUCAAGCCCCAAUAGGCUAACACCACCACUUCUGCUGAGGCUGCCAGGAUGGCUGUGGAUGAGGAGGAGAUUGAGGAGGAAGAAGUUGCUGAGGACCGUUCUACUUUCACUACUCCCUCUACUGAGCCCUCUUGGGCGAAGAAGCUGAAGAUCAAGAUGAAGAGGCUUUUCUGCAUGCAGGUCCAAAGUCAGUACAAGUGAAGGAAAUAUGCCCUAGAGGCAAUAAUAAAGUUAUUAUUUAUUUCCUCAUAUCAUGAUAAAUGUUUAUCAUUCAUGCUAGAAUUAUAUUAACCGGAAACAUAAUACAUGUGUGAAUACAUAGACAAAACUAUGGUCACUAGUAUGCCUCUACUUGACUAGCUCAUUAAUCAAAGAUGGUUAUGUUUCCUGACCAUAGACAUGUGUUGUCAUUUGAUUAGUGGGAUCACAUCAUUAGAAGAAUGAUGUGAUUGACAUGACCCAUUCUGUUAGCCUAGCACUUGAUCGUUUAGUAUACUGCUAUUGCUUUCUUCAUGACUUAUACAAAGUUCCUGCAACUAUGAGAUUGUGCAACUCCCGUUUACCGGAAGAACACUUUGUGUGCUACCAAACGUCACAACGUAACUGGGUGAUUGUAAAGGUGCUCUACAGGUGUUUCCGAAGGUACAUGUUGAGUUGGCAUAAUUCGAGAUUAGGAUUUGUCACUCUGAUUGUCGGAGAGGUAUCUCUGGGCCCUCUCGGUAAUACUCAUCACCUAAGCCUUGCAAGCAUAUAACUAAUGAGUUACUUAUGAGAUGACGUAUUAUAGAACGAGUAAAGAGACUUGCCGGUAACGAGAUUGAACUAGGUAUUGGAUACCAACGAUCAAAUCUCGGGCAAGUAACAUACCGAUGACAAAGGGAACAAAGUAUGUUGUUAUGCGGUUUGACCGAUAAAGAUCUUCGUAGAAUAUGUAGGAACCAAUAUGGGCAUCGAGGUCCCGCUAUUGGUUAUUGACCAGAGACGUGUCUCGGUCAUGUCUACAUUUUCUCGAACCGUAGGGUUCGCACGCUUAAGGUUUCGAUGACAGUUAUAUUAUGAGUUUAUGUAUUUUGAUGUACCGAAGUUUGUUUGGAGUCCCGGAUGUGAUCACGGACAUGACGAGGAGCCUCGAAAUGGUCGAGACAUAAAGAUUGAUAUAUUAGACGGAUAUAUUUGGACACCGGAAAGGUUCCGGGAGAGUUUGGGAAUAUACCGGAGCUCCGGGAGGUUACCGGAACCCCCCGGUAAGAAUAUGGGCCUUAUUGGGCCCUAGUGGAAGGGAGGGAGAAGGAGCAAGGGAGGGGGCGCCCCCCCCCCAAGCCCAAUCCGAAUUGGGAGGGGGGCCGGCCCCCCCUUUCCUUCUCUCCUUUCCCCUCUUCCUUCCUACUACUACUACUCCUUCCUUCCCCCUCCAUCUUGGAUUAGGAAAAGGAGGGGAAACCUACUUGGAGUAGGUUUCCCCCCCCCCCUAUGGCGCACCUCCCCCUUGGGCCGGCCACCUCCUCCCUCCCUCCUUUAUAUACGGGGGUAGGGGGGGCACCCUAGACACACAAGUUGAUCAUUAAGAUCGUUCCUUAGCCGUGUGCGGUGCCCCCCUCCACGAUAUUACACCUCGGUCAUAUUGUAGCGGUGCUUAGGCGAAGCCCUGCGACAGGAGAACAUCAAGAUCGUCACCACGCCAUCGUGCUGACGGAACUCCUCCCCGCGCCUUUGCUGGAUCGGAGAUCGGGGUGUGUCAUCGAGCUGUACGUGUGUCAAGAACUCGGAGGUGCCGGAGUAACGGUGCUUGGAUCGGUUGAACCGGGAGGACGUACGACUACUUCCUCUACGUUGCGUCAACGCUUCCGCUUCGGUCUACAAGGGUACGUAGACAACACUCUCCCCUCUCGUUGCUAUGCAUCACCAUGAUCUUGCGUGUGCGUAGGAAUUUUUUUGAAAUUACUACGUUCCCCAACAGUGGCAUCCGAGCCUAGGUUUUAUGCGUUGAUGUUAUAUGCAUGAGUAGAACACAAGUGAGUUGUGGACGAUAUAAGUCAUACUGCCUACCAACAUGUCAUACUUUGGUUCGGCGGUAUUGUGAGAUGAAGCGGCCCGGACUGACAUUACGCGUACGCUUACGCGAGACUGGUUUCACCGUUACGAGCACUCGUGCUUAAAGGUGGCUGGCGGGUGUCUGUCUCUCUCACUUUAGUUGAACCGAGUGUGACUACGCCCGGUCCUUGUGAAGGUUAAAACGGAGUCUAUUUGACAAACUAUCGUUGUGCUUUUGAUGCGUAGGUAAGAACGGUUCUUGCUAAGCCCGUAGCAGCCACGUAAAAUUUGCAACAACAAAGUAGAGGACGUCUAACUUGUUUUUGCAGGGCAUGUUGUGAUGUGAUAUGGUCAAGACGUGAUGCUAUAUUUUAUUGUAUGAGAUGAUCAUGUUUUGUAACCAAAGUAAUCGGCAACUGGCAGGAGCCAUAUGGUUGUCGCGUUAUUGUAUGAAAUGCAAAUGCCCUGUAAUUGCUUUACUUUAUCACUAAGCGGUAGCGAUAGUCGUAGAAGCAAUAGAUGGCGUAACGACAAUGAUGCUACGAUGGAGAUCAAGGUGUCGCGCCGGUGACGAUGGUGAUCACGGCGGUGCUUCGGAGAUGGAGAUCACAAGCACAAGAUGAUGAUGGCCAUAUCAUAUCACUUAUAUUGAUUGCAUGUGAUGUUUAUCCCUUAUGCAUCUUAUCUUGCUUUGAUUGACGGUAGCAUUUUAAGAUGAUCUCUCACUAAAAUUAUCAAGAAGUGUUCUCCCUGAGUAUGCACCGUUGCCAAAGUUCGUCGUGCCCAGACACCACGUGAUGAUCGGGUGUGAUAAGCUCUACGUCCAUCUACAACGGGUGCAAGCCAGUUUUGCACACGCGGAAUACUCAGGUUAUACUUGACGAGCCUAGCAUAUGCAGAUAUGGCCUCGGAACACGGACACCGAAAGGUCGAGCGUGAAUCAUAUAGUAGAUAUGAUCAACAUAGUGAUGUUCACCAUUGAAAACUACUCCAUCUCACGUGAUGAUCGGUCAUGGUUUAGUUGAUUUGGAUCACGUAAUCACUUAGAUGACUAGAGAGAUGUCUGUCUAAGUGGGAGUUCUUAAGUAAUAUGAUUAAUUGAACUUAAAUUUAUCAUGAACUUAGUCCUGGUAGUAUUUUGCAAAUUAUGUUGUAGAUCAAUAGCUUGCGUUGUUGCUUUCAUAUGUUUAUUUUGAUAUGUUCCUAGAGAAUACUGUGUUGAAAAUUGUUAUAAGCAAUGAUGCGGAUUGGAUCCGUGAUCUGAGGUUUAUCAUCAUUGCUGCGCAGAAGAAUUAUGUCCUUGAUGCACCGCUAGGUGACAAACCUAUUGCAGGAGCAGAUGCAAACGUUAUGAACAUUUGGCUAGCUCAAUAUGAUGACUACUUGAUAGUUUAGUGCACCAUGCUUAACGGCUUAGAAUCGGGACUUCAAAGACGUUUUGAACGUCAUGGACCAUACGAGAUGUUCCAGGAGUUGAAGUUAAUAUUUCAAGCAAAUACCCGAGUUGAGAGAUAUGAAGUCUCCAACAAGUUCUAUAGCUAAAAGAUGGAGGAGAAUCGCUCAACUAGUGAGCAUGUACUCAGAUUGUCUGGGUACUUCAAUCGCUUGAAUCAAGUGGGAGUUAAUCUUCCAGAUAAGAUAGUGAUUGACAGAGUUCUCUAGUCACCAUCACUAAAGUUACUAGAACUUCGUGAUGAACUAUAGUAUGCAAGGGAUGACCAAAACGAUUCCCGAGCUCUUCGUGAUGUUGAAAUCGACGAAGGUAGAAAUCAAGAAAGAACAUCAAGUUUGAUGGUUAACAAGACCACUAGUUUCAAGAAAAAGGGCAAAGGGAUAGAAGGGAACUUCAAAAGAACGGCAAGCAAGUUGCUGCUCAAGUGAAGAAGCCCAAGUCUGGACCUAAGCCUGAGACUAAGUGCUUCUACUGCAAAGGGAAUUGUCACUGGAAGCAGAAAUGCCCUGAAUAUUUGGUGGAUAAGAAGGAUGGCAAAGUGAACAAGGGUAUAUUUGAUAUACAGGUUAUUGAUGUGUGCCUUACUAGUGUUUAUAGUAUCCCCUGAGUAUUUGAUACUUGUUCGGUUGCUAAGAUUAGUAACUCGAAACAGGAGUUACAGAAUAAACAGAGACUAGUUGAAGGGGAAGUGACGAUGAGUGUUGGAAGUAGUUCCAAGAUUGAUAUGAUCAUCAUCGCACACUCCCUAUACUUUCGGGAUUAGUGUUAAACCUAAAUAAAUGUUAUUUGGCGUUUGCGUUGAGCAUGAAUAUGAUUUGAUCAUGUUUUUUGCAAUACGGUUAUUCAUUUAAAGUCAGAGAAUAAUUGUUGUUCUGUUUACAUGAAUAAGACCUUCAAUGGUCAUACACCCAAUAAACAUAAUUUGUUGGAUCUCGAUCGUAGUGAUACACAUAUUCAUAAUAUUGAUGCCAAAAGAUGCAAAGUUAAUAAUGAUAGUGCAACUUAUUUGUGGCACUCUCGUUUGGGUCAUAUCGGUGUAAAGCGCAUGAAGAAACUCCAUAAAGAUGGAUUUUCGGAAUCACUUGGUUAUGAAUCAUUUGAUGCUUGCGAACCGUGCCUUUUGGGCAAGAUGACUAAAACUCCAUUCUUCGGAACAAUGGAACGAGCUACUGACUUAUUGGAAAUAAUACAUACUGAUGUAUGCAGACCAAUGAGUAUGAAGGCUCGUGGCAAGUAUCGUUAUUUUCUGACCUUCACAAGAUGAUUUGAGCAGAUAUGGGUAUAUCUACUUGAUGAAACAUAAGUCUGAAAUAAUUGAAAGGUUCAAAGAAUUUCAGAGUGAAGUGGAAAAAUCAUCGUAAUAAGAAAAUAAAGUUUCUGCGAUCUGAUCGCGGAGACGAAUAUUUGAGUUACGAGUUUGGUCUUCAAUUAAAACAAUGUGGAAUAGUUUCACAGCUCACGCCACCUGGAACACCACAACGUUAUGGUGUGUCCGAACGUCAUAACCGCACUUUAUUGGAUAUGGUGCGAUCUAUGAUGUCUCUUACUGAUCUACCAAUAUUUUUUUGGGGUUAUUCAUUAGAGACAGCUGCAUUCACAUUAAAAGGGCACCAUCUAAAUCCGUUGAGACGACAACAUAUGAACUGUGGUUUAGCAAGAAACCCAAGUUGUCGUUUCUUAAAGUUUGGGGCUGCGAUGCUUAUGUGAAAAAGUUUCAUCCUGAUAAGCUCGAACCCAAAUCGGAGAAGUGCGUCUUCAUAGAAUACCCAAAGGAAAUUGUUGGGUACACCUUCUAUCACAGAUCCGAAGGCAAGAUAUUCGUUGCUAAAAAUGGAUCCUUUCUAGAGAAGGAGUUUCUCUCGAAAGAAGUGAGUGGGAGGAAAGUAGAGCUUGAUAAGGUAAUUUGUACCUUCUCCCGAAUUGGAAAGUAGUUCAUCACGGAAAUUAGUUCCAGUGAUUCCUACACCAAUUAGCGAGGAAGCUAAUGAUGAUGAUCAUGAAACUUCUGAUCAAGUUGCUAUAGAACCUCGUAGGUCUUCCAGAGUACGGUCCGCACCAGAGUGGUACGGUAAUCCUGUUCUGUAAGUCAUGUUACUAGACCAUGAUGAACCUACGAACUAUGAGGAAGCGAUGAUGAGCCCAGAUUCCGCAAAAUGGCUUAAGGCCAUGAAAUCUGAGAUAUGAUCCAUGUAUGAGAACAAAGUAUGGACUUUGAUUGACUUGCUCGAUGAUCAGCAAGCCAUGUUAAAUGAAUGGAUCUUCAAGAGGAAGACGGACACUGAUAGUAGUGUUACUAUCUACUAAGCUCGACUUGUUGCGAAAGAUUUUCAACAAGUUCAAUGUGUUGAAUACGAUGAGAUUUUCUCACUUGUAUCGUUGCUUAAGUCUGUCUGAAUCAUGUUAGCAAUUGCCACAUUUUAUGAAAUCUGGCAAAUGGAUGUCAAAACUGCAUUCCUUAAUGGAUUUAUUAAAGAAGAGUUGUAUAUGAUGCAACCAGAAGGUUUUGUCAAUCCUAAAGGUGCUAACAAAAUGUGCAAGCUCCAGCGAUCCAUCUAUGGACUGGUGCAAGCAUCUCGGAGUUGGAAUAUACGCUUUGAUAAGUUGAUCAAAGCAUAUAGUUUUAUAUGGACUUACGAUGAAGCCUGUAUUUACAAUAAAGUGAGUGGGAGCACUACAGCCUUUCUGAUUAGUAUAUGUGAGUGACAUAUUGUCGAUCAGAAAUGAUGUAGAAUUUUUCUGCAAAGCAUAAAGGAGUGUUUUAAAGGAGUUCUUUAAAAAGAAAAGACCUCAGUAAAGCUACUUACAUAUUGAGCAUCAAGAUCUAUUGAGAUAGAUCAAGACGCUUGAUAAGAUUUUCAAUAAGUACAUACCUUGGCAAGAUUUUGAAAUAGUUCAAAAUGGAAUAGUCAAAGAAAGAGUUCUUGCCUGUGUUGCAAAGGUGUGAAAUUGAGUAAGACUCAAAUCCCGACCACGGCAGAAAAUAGAAAAGAGAAUGAAAGUCAUUCCCUAUGCCUCAGUCAUAGGUUCUAUAAAGUAUGCCAUGUUAUGUACCAGACCUAUUGUAUACCUUGCUCUGUAUUUGGCAAGGGAGUACAAUAGUGAUCUAAGAGUAGAUCACUGGACAUUGGUCAAGAAUAUCCUUAGUGAGGACUGAGGAAAUAUUUCUCGAUUAUGGAGGUGAUAAAAGAGCCCGUCGUAAAGAGUUACAUCGGUGCAAGCUUUCACACUGAUCCAGAUGACCCUAAGUCUCAAUCUGGAUACAUAUUGAAAGUGGGAGCAAUUAGCUAGAGUAGCUCUGCGCAGAGAAUUGUAGACAUAGAAUAUUUGCAAAGUACAUACGGCUCUGAAUGUGACAGACCCGUUGACUAAGCCUCUCUCACGAGCAAAACAUGAUCAGCACCAAGACUCCAUGGGUGUUAGAAUCAUUACUAUGUAAUCUAGAUUAUUGACUCUAGUGCAAGUGGGAGACUGAAGGAAAUAUGCCCUAGAGGCAAUAAUAAAGUUAUUAUUUAUUUCCUCGUAUCAUGAUAAAUGUUUAUUAUUCAUGCUAGAAUUGUAUUAACCGGAAACAUAAUACAUGUGUGAAUACAUAGACAAAACUAUGGUCACUAGUAUGCCUCUACUUGACUAGCUCAUUAAUCAAAGAUGGUUAUGUUUCCUGACCAUAGACAUGUGUUGUCAUUUGAUUAGUGGGGUCACAUCAUUAGAAGAAUGAUGUGAUUGACAUGACCCAUUCUGUUAGCCUAGCACUUGAUCGUUUAGUAUACUGCUAUUGCUUUCUUCAUGACUUAUACAAAGUUCCUGCAACUAUGAGAUUGUGCAACUCCCGUUUACCGGAAGAACACUUUGUGUGCUACCAAACGUCACAACGUAACUCGGUGAUUAUAAAGGUGCUCUACAGGUGUUUCCGAAGGUACAUGUUGAGUUGGCAUAAUUCGAGAUUAGGAUUUGUCACUCCGAUUGUCGGAGAGGUAUCUCUGGGCCCUCUCGGUAAUACUCAUCACCUAAGCCUUGCAAGCAUAUAACUAAUGAGUUAGUUAUGAGAUGACGUAUUACAGAACGAGUAAAGAGACUUGCCGGUAACGAGAUUGAACUAGGUAUUGGAUACCGACGAUCAAAUCUCGGGCAAGUAACAUACCGAUGACAAAGGGAACAAAGUAUGUUGUUAUGCGGUUUGACCGAUAAAGAUCUUCGUAGAAUAUGUAGGAACCAAUAUGGGCAUCCAGGUCCCGCUAUUGGUUAUUGACCAGAGACGUGUCUCGGUCAUGUCUACAUUGUUCUCGAACCGUAGGGUCCGCAUGCUUAAGGUUUCGAUGACAGUUAUAUUCUGAGUUUAUGUAUUUUGAUGUACCGAAGUUUGUUCGGAGUCCCGGAUGUGAUCACGGACAUGACGAGGAGUCUCGAAAUGGUCGAGACAUAAAGAUUGAUAUAUUGGACGGAUAUAUUUGGACACCGGAAAGGUUCCGGGAGAGUUUGGGAAUAUACCGGAGCUCCGGGAGGUUACCGGAACCCCCCGAUAAGUAUAUGGGCCUUAUUGGGCCCUAGUGGAAGGGAGGGAGAAGGAGCAAGGGAGGGCCCCCCCCCAAGCCCAAUCCUAAUUGGGAGGGGGGCCGGCCCCCCCUUUCCUUCUCUCCUUCCCCCUCUUCCUUCCUACUACUACUACUCCUUCCUUCCCCCUCCAUCUUGGAUUAGGAAAAGGAGGGGAAACCUACUUGGAGUAGGUUUCCCCCCCCCCCUAUGGCGCGCCUUCCCCUUGGGCCGGCCACCUCCUCCCUCCCUCCUUUAUAUACGGGGGUAGGGGGGCACCCUAGACACACAAGUUGAUCAUUAAGAUUGUUCCUUAGCCGUGUGCGGUGCCCCCCUCCACGAUAUUACACCUCGGUCAUAUUGUAGCGGUGCUUAGGCGAAGCCCUGCGACAGGAGAACAUCAAGAUCGUCACCACGCCGUCGUGCUGACGGAACUCCUCCCCGCGCCUCUGCUGGAUCGGAGAUCGGGGUGCGUCAUCGAGUUGUACGUGUGUCAAGAACUCGGAGGUGCCGGAGUAACGGUGCUUGGAUCGGUUGAACCGGGAGGACGUACGACUACUUCCUCUAUGUUGCGUCAACGCUUCCGCUUCGGUCUACGAGGGUACGUAGACAACACUCUCCCCUCUCAUUGCUAUGCAUCACCAUGAUCUUGCGUGUGCGUAGGAAAUUUUUUGAAAUUACUACGUUCCCCAACACAAGGCCCAUGUUGCUCAGAAGGAGGGUCGUCGUCGCGACAACAGGAUCUUGAGGGCGUGCGGCGAGGACGUGGACAGCGGCUCUAAGAGGCACAUCACCCCCGAGGCUGCCUGGAUGGCUAAGCAGGGCUACAAGUGGACCGAUUCUGAGGAGGAGUACAUUCCUGCUGCGGAGUCUGGCGACGAGGAGUCGUUUUCUGCCUGAGCUACCACCUUUGUUGUAGGUGCCCUCUCUGCCUUUUUGGUGUCUCGAUGCCGAAGGGGGAGAGAGAGUAGGAUCUGUGUGCCGUGUGUUGUGUGCUUCGCCGUUUGCUUUGCUUUCCGUAUGUUGAACUUGUUUGCUUUGGUUUGGUUGUGCUCGUGAGAAUAUGUUUAUCAUAUGGUGUAAGACAUAUGCACUCUAUGGUACCUUAUUACCUUAUUGAGCUUAUGCUAUAUUGUGCUAUUUAUGUUUUGCUCAUAUUUACUAUCUUGUUUAGUGUUAGCCUUAUCAUUGCAAGAUAUGCUUUAUCUCUAAAAUAUAGGGGGGGUGGUGAUCCUAGUAUUCGUGCCGUGCAGUCCAAAGCACUUUACUCUCUAUCACGAAUCUAGGGGGAGUUCGUCUAUAUUCUAGAGAUGAGGGGUUUGCUUGUGCUAUAUUCUUUCCCUUUGUGUACUGUCAUCAAUCCACCAAAAAAGGGGAGAUUGUAAGGGCAUUCUUCUCCCUUGGUAGUUUUGGUGAUUGAUGACAGUGCUUUUGCGGACUAAUCGUGUGUAUUGAGCUUUUCAGAUAUAUCAUGACUAAACACAAGACGAUUUGAUGCCCCUCGAAGAUUAUUGAAGACGGGUUUCUCUACGGUUCUUUUCGGUGCAGUUGAGUCAUAGGAAAGCCGUACUAUUAAGAGGGGGUCCGCUUUAGAAAGGUUUGGGUGGAAUCUCAUGUACACGUCCCUUUUGCACCACCUUUCCUUUGGCUCUUUGGAGUUUCCUCCGUCUCACCUUGUCUCUGCGAAAUGAAGGACUCCGAGUUGCUCUUCUCAGGCUGGCGGUAGUACUGCUCCUCUGAGCGGUACUACCGCAGGAGCCAGCGGUAGUACCGGGAUCUGGCAUGGUAGUAUCGUGGGCUUCCACGGUAGUACUACUCCUCCUAAGUGGUAGUACCGUGAGUUCUGGCCUGGUGCUGCUACUCAAGUGGUAGUAGGGGCGGAUGUAAUUUUUUACAUCCGCGCCCUACGCUGUAGUACCGUGUUGCGGCGCGGUAGUACCGUGUCGCCUGGCCAGGUACAACAGCAGGAGCGGAUGUAGGGGCGGAUGUAAAUUUUUACAUCCGCACCCUUCACGGUAGUACCACACCCCUGGUUCGCGGUAGUAUCGUGUUGGAUUUUCGCAUCGAUAAAAUCUCAGUGGAGGUAGUCACGGAUGUAAUUUUUUACAUCUAUGCCUACCGUGCCUAGACUGUGGCUGCCCUGCGGUAGUGCCGCACAGGGUCACGGUAGUACCGUGCCUGCGGUUCUACCGCGCCCUGUCUGUGCUCUUCUGUUCAGGUCCAGGCUCUGCCGCGCCCACGGUAGUACCGCUCCUGUGGUGCGGUAGUACCGCGGGUCGCGGGCUGAGUGGUGGGUAACGGUUGGAAUUGUCCCCCACUAUAUAAGGGGGUCUUCUUCUCCAAGAAGACUCACCUCUUCCAUCCCUAAGCUCCAUUGUUGCUCCAAGCUCCAUUUUUGCCCGAUCUCUCUUCCUAGCCAAUCAAACUUGUUGAUUUGCUCAGUAUUGGUUGAGAAGGCCUCGAUCUACACUUCCACCAAGAGAAAUUUGAUUUCCCCCACUAAUCCGUAGCGAAUCUUGUUACUCUUGGGUGUUUGAGCACCCUAGACGUUUGAGGUCACCUCGGAGUCAUAGUCCAUUGUGGUGAAGCUUCGUGGUGUCGUUGGGAGCCUCCAAUUAAGUUGUGGAGAUUGCCCCAACCUUGUUUGUAAAGGUUCGGUCCCCACCUUCAAGGGCACCAAUAGUGGAAUCACGGCAUCUCGCAUUAUGUGAAGGCGUGAGGAGAAUAUAGUGGCCCUAGUGGCUUCUUGGGGAGCAUUGUGCCUCCACACCGCUCUAACGGAGACGUACUUCCCCUCAAAAAGAAGGAACUUCGGUAACACAUCCUCGUCUCCACCGGCUCCACUCUUGGUUAUCUCGCGCCUUUACUCUUGCAAGAUUACUUGUGUUAUAUCCCUUGCUUGCUUGUGUGCUUGUUGUUGUUGCAUCAUAUAGGUUGUUCACCUAGUUGCAUAUCUAGACAACCUACUUUGAUGCAAAGUUUAAUUUGGUAAAGAAAAGCUAAAAAUUGUUAGUUGCCUAUUCACCCCCCCCUCCUCUAGUCAACUAUAUCGAUCCUUUCACCCGGGAGUUUGACGGCCGUUUGAGGGGCCCAUCUGGGUCAAAAAAUAGUGACCGGACAGGUGACAAGGCGGCCCGCCCGGGCAUGGCCGUUUGAGGGGCCCGUCUGGGUCAAAAAUAGUGACCGGACAGGUGACAAGGCGGCCCGCCCGGGCAUAUGAGGCGGGUUUGAGGCGUCCGGCUGUAGGUGCUCUUACUACCCUCAUUUGUUUGAGCGUCAACUAAUUCGAACGAAGAAAGUGCCUAAUUUGAUAUUUUUUUUGUGAACGAUUUGAAGGUGGAUUGGCCAAGCACAGUUUGUUGAUUACUAAAGAAUAAAAUUGGGAUUGGUCUCCUUGGUUGGGGCAGAUGUAAGUGGUUGUUGCAUGCAUGGAAGGAGAAACAACUACCAAUGGGAGGCAAAUAUAUUCUACUCUUAUCAUAUGCCAAUUUUGAAAGCUCCAAAGGGGUAUGCGAAAGUGUCAUGGAUGUUAUGCAUUGAUAUGCUUUGGUCAAAAUUGAGUUUUCCUACGAGAGAGGGUGGUCAUGAUUUUCCAUAUUUACGCUCAUUUUAUUCAGCAAUCUUUGAUAAUCCACUAUCAAGAAAAUUCUGAAGUGUGAUGUUAUCGAAGGCUACGUAGGAGCGGUUCAAAUGCCUACUUCAAACCAUUGUUGCCUCGAUCUAAACUUUUAAAUGCAAAUAUAUUUGGAGAAUCCGGGGAUAGCAUUUCAUUUGGGAAGACCCUGGAGUCCAUCAAGCUCAUCAAGGAAAUACUAACCCUAGGAGGGAGGGGAUGUCAUUAGAAAAGUGAAUAAUCCCAUACACCCAUUGACUGCAAAAAUGGGUUGAAUAUCUUAUAAGGUUUAUAUUCUGACCAGUGGAUGUAAGAAAAAUAUUACAAACAAUGCUUAACGUAAAGAUUUUUGAUGAAUUCGUUACACGACAAUAUACAAGGUGGAAGCAAUUCUCGGUCCAAUAUCUUAUCAUGUGGAGUGGCGGCAUCAAUUUGGCCACAUAAAUCUAUAGCCUUGACCAUCGACAACUCAUUCUGCAUCGGAUACUCUUUGGAACGUGUACGUGUCGGACAAGGUAAAGGUUCAUUAUUGGAGGGCGCUACAAGGUGUUAUACCUGUUGGAAAUAUGAGCAAAUUACUAAGAGAUUUAAUCCGAAUAAACAGAAGAUAAAUCAUGACUACAGUAGCAGAGAUUGAACUAAUCAUGCAAACUAGCAUAGCAGAUGAACAGAUCACAUCCAGGGCACAUACUAGAAACAUGAAUUCUACCACGAUCUCGAACAGGAAAGAUAGAAUCACAUACAAUGCAGCAGGAGCAGCACCGCCGGCAUUGACGUUGUCGCCCAUGUUGUCGAGGAUGAGGUUGUCGAGGUCGGGGAAGAAGUCGUACUUCGCGAAGUCGUCGCUGCCAGCAGUCGCACGAGUGCGCUCCCCAAAAACCUGGUCGCCUCUCUCCCGUACAGGAUCACGAGAGGCGGGGUUCCGGACGCCUGCUGUCCCUUCUCCCGGUGCACGCCGAAAGGAGGGAUGGAGAAGACUUGUUUGGCGACGCAAUGAUUUGGAACUAUGGUGAGAAACCAUGCAAAGCGGCGGCGGCGGCUAGGGUAGACGUCUGACUGACUAUAUAGUGCGGGCCGGGUAGGUCGUGGGAGUAAACCCCACGUCCGAGUCGUCGCGAUCCAAAAGAAUCGAAAAUGGUUCAGUAAUUAAUGUGUCCGUUAAUUAUUAAUUAAUGACUCAUUAAUUUUUCCCGAGCAGAAAAAAUAUAGACAACAUGCAUAGCUCUGUCCUCGGCUCGGCUCAAUCCCGCAACCCGCGGCGCGUCGUGACGAGGCGAGGCGAGGCGUGGCAAGGCGAGCAAGGAGGAGGAGCGCGCGUGUAGGUCUCCUCUUCUCAGGCUCAUACAAGUGGUAGAAGAGGUCACCUUAUAAAGAGGUGCAACUCUCUCUCAACUUAUGAGGUGGGACUAAACUUUAUCCUCACUCACUCCACUCACAUGUGUGCAUGAAUGGGCCAAGAGAAUUUCAGAAUUUUAGUUGGGCUUUGGGCCAAAAGCCCACUAGCAAACUCCAACAAUCCCCCACAAAGUCUCAUUAGCACAUUUCACCAUUUGGUUCCAAAACAUUGUUUAUAUACCGGUGCUUAGUGGAGACUGUGAAGUUGAACUUCCACUUAGAGAUUUAUGCUACAAUAGAUCACAACUUGAAUAGUGGACUAUGCCUUGAACUACAAGUUUUAUGCGAGACUAGUUUCACACAAAUUCUUGACCGAUACUGGGCUGCCGCAAGGCUUCCCCGCGGGUGGAGCGUAUACAUCGUACUCCAGGGCCUUUCAUGAAUUUAUUAGAGAGCACCCACUUCUCACAGACUGCGACGUUAAUAGUCAAAUUCAUAUAGGUGUGUUCCUCAGGAGAUGCUCUGCAGGACAACAUCUCUGCUUACUCAAAUAAGCCACUUGGAACACAUUAAGAUAGAUAUCAACCUGCCAUGCAGAUCAGGAGAGUAUUGCAUCUUCACGGAGUGGGAUAAUUAAAAUAAGGAUACUCUCCUCUCAGCUGACCAAUAGCUUGUCUCUCACUUCUACUUCACGGGAUCUCCGAUCACAUAGAGUGGGUUACCACUAUGGACAACUCAUGCGGUCGGUCUCAAACCCAUCUCCAUCCAUGCAUUAUCUAUCACAUUAUGUGAUAGACCCUUUGUGAAGGGAUCUGCCAAGUUUUUUGACGUUUGGAUAUAAUCCAACAUAAUAACUUCGGAGUUCCUCAGUUUCCUGACAGAUUUUAACCUCCUCUUCACAUGCCUUGAGGGCUUCAUAUUGUCCUUAGAACUGUUUAUCUUGACGAUCACAGUUUGAUUAUGAAAGUUCAUCAGGAUAGGGGGUAUUGGUUUUUCAACCAUAGGUAAGUCCAUCAAUAGCUCAUGAAGCCACUCUGCUUCAACAGCGGCAGUGUCUAAUGCUGUGAGUUCUGCUUCCAUAGUUGACCUUGUUAAGAUGGUCUGCUUGCAAGACUUCCAGGAAACAGCGCCACCACCAAGUGUAAAAACAUAACCACUUGUGGCCUUAAUCUCAUCAGCAUCAGUUAUCCAGUUCGAGUCACUAUAACCCUCCAGUACCCUUGGAUACCCGGUGUAGUGAAUCCCAUAGCUCGUAGUGCCCUUCAAGUAGAGCAUAACUCUCUCAAGCGCACGCCAAUGAUCAUCUCCCGGUUUUGACACAAAUUGACUCAGCUUGCUCACAGCAAAAGAGAUGUCAGGCCUCGUGGCACUCGCCAAAUACAUAAGCGAGCCAAUAAUCUGAGAAUACCUCAGUUGAUCUCUAGCAAUCCGUCGAUUCUUUCGAAGCAACACACUAGCAUCUUAUGGAGUUGGAGAAGGCGUGCAGUCGCUAUACCCAAAAUGACUCAGGAUCUUUUCCACAUAGUGAGACUGAAGCAGUGUGAUCCCACCAUUCUCAUCUCUCAAUAGCUUGAUGUUUAAGAUAACAUCAGCUACUCCUAGAUCCUUCAUCUCAAAACAGCGAGAUAAGAAAUCCUUAACCUCCUUGAUUAAAUCAAGUUUGGUUCCAAAGAUCAAUAUGUCGUCGACAUACAGACAAAGAAUAACUCCUUCGCCCCCACCAUGGCGAUAGUACACACACUUGUCACCAUCAUUUACUACAAAGCCGACAGCAGUUAAUGUUCUUUCGAACUUCUCAUGCCACUCCUUAGGAGCUUGUUUAAGGCCAUAUAAAGACUUUAAUAACUUGCAAGAAGACCAUGUGAGGCAGCCAGUGAUAGUAGCACCCGAAUUGUGGUCAGUCUAGCCACGGGUGAGUAAGUAUCAAAGAAGUCUUCACCUUCUUUCUGGGUAUAACCCUUAGCCACAAGCCGUGCCUUGUACUUUUCAAUCGUACCAUCAGGUCUAAGCUUCUUCUUGAACACCCACUUACAUCCUACAGGUUUGCACCCAUAAGGAUGGUCAAUGAUCUCCCAGGUUCCGUUAGCUAAGAUGGAAUCCAUCUCGCUACGAACAACUUCCUUCCAGUAGUCAGCAUCAGGAGAUGCAUAGGCUUCUGAAAUAGUCCUGGGUGUGUCAUCCACAAGGUACACAAUGAAAUCAUCACCAAAGGACUUUGCAGUCCUCUGUCUCUUACUCCUUACAGGAGUUUCAUUGUCAUCCUCAACAGGAUUCUCAAUGUGUUCCAUCACAAUGGUGGGUUUCAGGAAUUACAGUGAGUUCCUCACUAGAUGGAGUAGGUAUCUCCUGAUUUGAUGAACUUGACAUAUCCUUCAUAGGAAAUAUGUCCUCAAAGAAAGUUGCAUCAUUAGACUCCAUAAUCGUACCAAUAUGCAUGUAGGAUACCUCAGAUUUUAUUAUCAAAAAUCUAUAGCCAAUGCUAUGAAAAGCAUAGCCCAGAAGAACACAAUCCACGGUUUUUGGUCCAAGCUUGCGCUUCUUGGGAAUUGGUAUAUUGACUUUCGCCAAACAACCCCAAGAACGUAGGUAAGAGAGUUUCAACCUUUUCCUUUCCCAUUCCUCAAAUGGAGUCAUGGUCUUAUGCUUUGUGGGAACUCGGUUUAGGACAUGACACGCGGUCAUUAGCGCCUCCCCCCACCAUUCCUUGGAAAGACCCGGUGUGUCUAACAUGACGUUAACCAAAUCAGUUAGAGUUCGGUUCUUUCUUUCGGCCACCCCAUUAGACUGAGGUGAGUAGGGAGGCGUCCUCUCAUGGAUUAUACCAUGUUCCGCACAAAACAGAUCAAAUUCAUUGGAAAAAUACUCUCCACCACGAUCGGACCUAAGCCGUUUAAUUUUUCGAUCAAGUUGGUUCUCUGCCUCAGCUUUAUAGUUUUUGAAGAAAGUUAAAGCCUCAUCUUUUGAUUUCAGAAGAUACACAUAACAAUGUCUAGUGGAAUCAUCAAUCAACGUCAUGAAAUAUCUCUUUCCACCUUUUGUCAACACGCCAUUCAUCUCACAAAGAUCAGAAUGUAUAAGCUCUAGUGGCGCCAAGUCUCUUGCCUCUGCAGUCUUAUGGGACUUGCGAAGUUGUUUAGCUUGCACACAUACUUGGCACUUAGAGUCUUUGACAGUAGAGAUUUUCGGAAUUAAAUUCAUAUUGGCUAGCCGCGUCAUGCAACCAAAGUUAAUAUGACAAAGUCGUGAAUGCCAAAUAUCCGACUCAUUAUUGUGGCAAACAUUAUUAAUAACUUUAGUACAAAUUUCUGACAAAGAUAGGCGGAACAAGCCUCCGCACUCAUAGCCUUUUCCAACAAAUUGUCCACACUUGGAAAUUACAACUUUAUUGGACUCAAAAACCAACUUAAAACCAUCUCGACAUAAACAGGAACCGCUAACGAGAUUUUUAUUGAUGGACGGCACAUGAUGAAUGUUCUUCAGACGCAUGGUCUUGCCCGAAGUAAACUUCAGAUCGACCGUACCGACACCCUGAACGAUGGCAUGUGACUCGUUCCCCAUCAGCACGGGAGAAGUCCCUGUGACCUAGUAAGAAGAAAACAUUGAGGCGUCAGCACAAACAUGUACAUUGGCACCGGUAUCAAUUAACCAAUCAGGAGAUUGAAAUACUGAAAGCAUGGUAGGAAGAAUACCGUACCCUGAUUCCUUCAUAUCAGUAUCACCGAUGACAACAUUAGCGGACUUGCCGCUCUUCUCAUGUUCACUCUCCUCAAAGCGGUUAGGACACUUCGGAGCCCAGUGAUUAGGAUCACCGCAAACAUGGCAAAGUCCCUUCCCCUUCUUGUGAGAAUUCUUCUUGAAGUUGAUAGAAUGUGAUGGCUUGUUCUUUGUAUCAAACUUGCCUUUGCCCUGAGUUUUGUUCUUGUUGUUUUUGAACUUGUUGGGCUGGAAGUUCUUCUUUUGUACCAUGUGGGCACUAGAAGCUCCCUCAGCAACUCGAGCAUGUGUGUCCUUUGCUCUUGCCUUCUCUUCAACAUCAAGAGUACUAAUGAGAUCCGCAACGGAAAACUCUUGUCUCUUGUGUUUCAGGGAAGUAGCAAAAUUGUUCCACAAAGGUGGAAGCUUGGCAAUGAUGCCUCCGGCAACAAAUUUGUCCGGCAACACACACUUGAAGUACUCAAGUUCUUUUGCGAGCGACUGUAUCUCAUGAGCCUGCUGUACAACAGAGCGCUCAUCAGUCAUCUUGUAGUCAUAGAAUUGCUCCAUGACGUACAACUCGCUGCCGGCGUCCGAGCCACCAAACUUGGCCUCGAGCGCAGCCCACAUGUCCUUGCCAUUGUCAAACGACAUAUACGACUCCACAAUGGAGUCAUUAAGAACACCCAAAAGAGCGCCUUUAAAGAGAUUAUCGAUAUUCUCAAAAGUUUCCAGCUGUGCUGGAUUAAGAUCGCCCUCGGGCUUGCCCUUGGUGGCGUCAUAGCAGCCCAUGGUCUGAAACCAGUAGACUGCUCUCGUGCGCCACCUCUUAUAUUGCGCCCCCUUAAAGGCAGGCGGCUUCAGAUGUGUAGCAAAACCACUCGGAGCAAAUUGCCUAUAAUCGGGUUUUUGGAUUGUUGGAAAUAUGAGCAAAUUACUACGAGAUUUAAUCCGAAUAAACAAAAGAUAAAUCAUGACUACAGUAGCAGAGAUUGAACUAAUCAUGCGAACUAGCAUAGCAGAUGAACAGAUCACAUCUAGCCACAAUCUCGAACAGAAGAUAUAGAAUCACAUACGAUGCAGCGGGAGCAGCACCGCCGGCAUUGACGUUGCCGCCCAUGUCGUCGAGGAUGAGGUUGCCGAGGUCGGGGAAGAAGUCAUCGUUCGCGAAGUCGUCGCUGCCAGCAGUCGCGCGAGUGCGCUCCAAAAAAAACCCGAUCGCCCCUCUCCCGUACAGGAUCACGAGAGGCGGGGUUCCGGAGGCCUGUUGUCCCUUCUCCCGGUGCAUGUCGAAAGGAGGGAUGGAAAAGACUUGUUUGGCGGCGCAAUGAUCUGGAACGGUGGUGAGAAACCAUGCGAAGCGGCGGCGGCUAGGGUCGACGUCUGCCUGACUAUGUAGUGCGGGUCGGGUAGGUCAUGGGAGUAAACCCCACGUCCGAGUCGUCAAGAUCCAAAAGAAUCGGUAAUGCGUUCGUUCCUCGACGCGGCGAGCGAGGAGGAGGAGCGCGCGUGUAGGUCUCCUAUUCUCACGCUCAUACAAGUGGUAGAAGAGCUCACCUUAUAAAGAGGUGCAACUCUCUCUCAACUUAUGAGGUGGGACUAAACUUUAGCCUCAUUCACUCCACUCAAAUGUGUGCAUGAAUGGCCAAGAGAAUUUCAGAAUUUUAGUUGGGCUUUGGGCCAAAAGCCCACUAGCAAAUUCCAACAAUACCUCUGUAGUUUCGCGGCACAUUGGAACAAGCGAUCAAUACCCUAUAGGCAUGCCAGCUUCACAACACAUAAGACUAGUCAUAGUGGGAGUAACUUAGGUAGUAACAUAGCACAUCCCAAGACAUAUAUGCUUAUGUGGCAUGAAGUUAAUGAGGAGAGAGGUGCUUGUGAUAACAUAAUAUGUUACCAUAACAUAACGCACCUCAAUGCAGUCUACAAUAUAAUAAAUGAAGGCUUACAUGACACUACACUUAUGUAACCACCCACUAUGAUGGUACUAACAUAGACUAGUAACAUAUGCAUGUUACUAGUUUAAGUUACUAUGCAAUAUGACUAGCCUAACAUUAGUUGUUUGGCUGUCCAAUGACAAAGGAAUUUGGCGUGCAUUUUGUUUUCCGAAAUGGACCAAAAGAGUCGCCUCAUCUCAUUAAUUAAGGAGGUGAGUCACAAAGUAAGAAAGAAAAAAGGAAACAAAGGCAUGUGCAAAAGGUUACUCUCCUAAUAAAAUGGCACUCGAGUGCCUAGCAUAAUUAACGGUGGGACGUAUUGGAUAUUCAAAAGGCGGACCCAAAAAUCUGCCAUUACACACUUUUUACGCACAACUCAUAAGGUAGCUAAUUUUGUUUCUUGAAUAAAUUAUCAUGUAACUGGGUCGAUGAGUCAUUAAUUUUAUUUUUAGUUUAGCUACCCAUGAUGCCAUUCCCUAAAGAAAAUAACACUAUCAGUGGAUGAACUGAGCCUAGCCGCUUAUUGCAAAAAAGAAUUUGCUUGCUUGAUUUAAGUUAUCGAUGCUAGUGUUAGAGUCGCCUUUGCACCUUAGACUUGGAAGUAUGACCGACAAGAAGAACAUAUAGUUGUGGAGGACGAGAGAUAAGAGUUGGAAACAUAUGGCAAAGUGGUGGCAAGUGAAGAGAAGGGCGGCGGCAACACGAGAGACUAGAUCGGGAAGGCAGAGGAAGGCUAGGGGCUAGCGCCCAUGAACGGCACACAACAACUUCGAAUCGAAAAGGAGAAAUUAAAGAGUCUGCCACGAAGGAUUCGGGCCAAUAACUUGAGAUCCAAAUUUGUCUCUUAAGAGUUUGUCAUGCAUGUUGCUUCGGGAUGUUGGUCCUUAUGAGCACGUGCACGAAAACUUCCCAAUUCUCAUUGACAAGGUCAAGCAGGCUUUGGUACGAGAGCGGCGAUAUCAACACAUCGGCGGCCCGUUCUGAUGCUAGCGGCGGUCGUUCGGUGGUACAAAGAUCUUGAUAUAAUUUUUAUUACAUUUGAGUUGCUUAAUACUACUUCUGAUGAACUUUUACACUUAAAAAAGAUAGCAUCCUUAAAACAAGAUAGAUCCUAGAUCCUAGAUUUUUUUUUUCGGGAAACCCAGAUCCAGACUUGGGAGCAGAUCAUUCUCACGUUCCCACGCUUGGAAGGAAGCCUCCCAAGUCCACGCCGCAGCAACGCGUGGUGCCACAGCACGUUUGGCGAGAGAGUCGCGUGCACGCGCCCUACGCAGCGCGUGCAGAUUCGGUCUCCGGAACGAGGAUAUGCCAGUGCUGAAUGCCGAUACGCCGUUGCGGUGGUGCCCAUCCGUUCGCUAGCUUGCGUUGCAUGGUCCCCGCCCGUGCCGGCGUGCAGUGCGCAGAACCCCGUAGCGAGCGAUGGUCCACCGGACCACAUGGACCGUGCACGAUCGUGAGUAGCAGACCGUCGUGUUCCUCUGGCAUAUGUUUCACGCAUCAAUCCAUCCUCUGGCCGUGAUUCGCAUCCAUGGGAAUUGAGGACACGCAUGCGGUAGAACGGAGCGAGCGUGCUAAUUUUAGCCGUGUGGAUGGAGCUUUCGAUCCCGGUGUUUCCGGUGCGUGGGGAGGGGGAGCACCGCCCCAAGGACUAGGGGCCUGUGUUGUGGCCACGCCCACGGGAGACCGGGGCAUUCUCGAGAAUUCGAGAUGAAAGGAACUCGCGUCACCAAGUUCAUACCCAAGUCCCUAUCUAAUUCAACCAACAAUUCAGUCAACCACCCGUUUCUUUUGCGCUCGAUUGCAUGCUUUGUAGUAUUCGUGUACAAGUCGCACUCCGACAAUAACAAACCCAUACGGGAGGGGAGCUCCAUUCGUACUAGUGCAGUAUUGCGCACACGCUUUCGUCAUACAAGAGAAACGCCAAAAAUGUUUCGUCCCGCACAACGCAACACAAAAGGUGAAGGUAUGCCCAGUUCGCCAUCUCACCUGGCAUGUGGCGAAAAAGGUUGCUCUCACAUAUAAGUAUUAUUUUGUACUCCAAAGAUAUAUUUCUUUACCCAAACACUCCUAUAUUAAACGCUCUUAUAUUUCUUUACAAAGGGAGUAAUGCUUAUAUAUAUAUAAACUGAAUUUUCAAGCAUAGGGUUGCAGUUUUUUUAGCAUGCUUAGUUUGAUUAAGCCUUGAUGUAAUCGAACAACUUUUCUUUAAGGGUACAAAGAGAGAUGGUGAUUUGUACCACACUUUUUGAUUCUCUUGGCAACUCAGCAUUGUAUUCUCAACGGUUCACGAGUAUAACAAAUGUAUUACAUGUUGAAAACAAUUUAUCACGGCGCAAACUGAGCCCAGGGCGCAUACAAGAUUACUCUCGAAAUUACUUGCUAAUCCUGCUGUGUUCCCGACACCAUAUCUCGUUCCAUCAAGUGAUGCAGCAGCUCAAGAUACACAAGGAUGUUGUUUCUCCGUGGGCUCGUCUAUUUGCAAGUCUUGUAGCUUCAUCAGGCACUGUGGGUAGUCUGGGUACAAACAACAUCAGCUAGGUAGUGGAGGAACCAAUCUGGCAUGCGCGCCUACUUAUGUGCUAUAGAAGAUGAGUCCAUGACGCUGCAUGAUUUGUCCAUGAACUGCAAAAUGGGCACAAGAAGUGAAGGAGAUCAGCACUUGCCGACCAAGUAGGCCGAUAUCACAGCGUAUGAUAUACGAGUGCACGUUUCUUACAAAAACAAUCCACAAUAUAAGGAGGUCAAAAUAAAGAUUUCUUCUUCAACAACUACCAAGAGAACCUACAAAUUCUAUUGGGGUGAUAAGAAGCGAGCAUACAACCCACUGGAGAGAACCAAUUACUGACAGAAUACUGACACUACCACAGGGUGUGAGUGAACCCCACUCAGAAUUCAGAUCAAACCAUGUAUAUAUAAGCAUUCCAACAACUGAGGAGUAACUAAUGAAACUUAUCAUGACAAGAAACCAAAAGCUAUACACAACGACCAAUAAUCUUUUUAUUUUUCGGGGAUUAACCACCAAUAGUUGAUAAGUCCUAAACCACACACCAAGAAUACUAGGAAGUGCUUAAACCAGAAGUUGCACAUGAUUAUGGUUGGCUGAGGCCACUGCAAAUGAAAGGUUUGAUGGCCCUACUGAUCAACACAUACUUGGAGUUAAUAAAGAUAAAGAUACUCCCUCCGUAAAGAAAUAUAAGAGCAUUUGGGAAUACUUCAUAACUCAUCAAAACACAAAAUGCAAGUAUGUAACCGAACUACAGAAGGAAAAAUAUCAAGUUAAAGUCAUACCUUCUUCAUGGAGUGUAAUUCCCGGCCAAAUGGUUCCAAGAACUUCAUCUCUAUAUCUAGGGGCCAAACCUGCAUAGAGAUAACAAAAUAGUAAAUAUCAAAAUUAGCAAAUGACUUUUGACUGCUUAUCAUCUGCAACAUUUCACAUUUUGGCUAUACAUACUAUUGGCGCUAUACAAAAAUAGUAAAUAUGCAGAAAAUGAAAGAUAAACAAGCAAAAGAAAAACACUAUGUGUGUGUAUAUAUGUAAACACCGGUCAGGCUGAAGGCACAGCUAACUGAACUUCUCAAGUAUUUGGAUGCCAUAUAUGUGACAAUUUAUUCAGCUAUCCAUUUAGAUGCUUGAAACCAUCAACAAGAGAAUGAAAUGGGCUAUAGUAUAGUACUCCCUCCGAUACAUAUUACUUGUCACAGUCCUAGUGCAAAUUUGUAGUGCAGCUGUACUAAGACUGCGACAAGUAAUAUGGAUCGGAGAGAGUAUAAGAGUUCUGACGUAAACACACACACCAUGAUAUGCAAACAAACAAUGAUCUCAGACAAUUGCUGGUGGUUUCUUUUAUCAAAUUAGAGAUACUGUAAAACAUGAACCUUAUAAUGCCAACCGUGUCCAGUGGUCAUAGACUAGUUUCCCACAACAGAAGGAACACAUCACUAAUUACAUGAUUGCUUUCCAACAAGUGAACGUCAUCUUUUUUCUUUCAAUUGGUGUGACUACGAAACCUGCAAACAAACUAACAGAACAUGUGUGGGCUAAUAAAAGUAUAGCGCACACAACUACAGAUGAUAACCAACGAACAACCACUAUCACCAAAGUAUCCAAUCAGAGGCGGAAUCAACCUAAUAUCAUUAUGACAUGGAAUCAAGUGGAUUUAUUCAACCAUGAUGCAUAAUUGAGCGAAUCUAUUCGAUCAUGAUGCAGAAUAGAAGAGAAACAUGGCACGCUUCACCUCAAAAACUAUGAUCACACCAUUCAACAGCUAGAUCGACAACAUAGGCGUAACGGUCAGAUACUGCUAGACAGCUACUAGAUCAAAACGUGGGCGUAACGAUGAGAUAAGGAGAGGGAUAGAUGGAUUUGUACCUUGAGUCCCAUCAGCCGCAGAGGCGCCUGCUGGCCGGGCACGAGGCACUCCGGGCCAGCAGCCUCAGCUACGGCCUCCAUGGCCAGCCCCAUCCCUAUCGGAUCCGGAUUCUGCAGAGAGAGAGAGAUGGGGAUCAAAUUCAGGCCUCCCCUCACCUACCCACCAACCGACGAAAAUUGAACCAAACCAAAACCAAGGCGGAGCGGUACGUACCCUCAUGAUGGCGAGGGCGUAGGCGGAGGAGUCGUCCUGGGCGACGCGGAGGACGGGGGCGUGGUGGAUGCGCGGGACGGGGCGGAUUCCGGCGGAGCCGGCGGCCGCGACGCGCCAGGGCGCGUCGUCGCCGGCGAGGUGCGGGCGCUUGGAGGCGGCCGCGGUGGGCGAGACGGACGAGGCCGUGGCCGGGGCGGCGGAGGCCGCCGCGGGCAGGGCGGCCGGCGAGGAGGCGGUGGUGGUGGUGAGGGACGCCAUCGGGAGGGAGCGGGGAGCAGGGAGCGGUGGGGCGCUCGCUCGCUCCGGUCCGGAGAGGAUAAGGCGGGGGGAGGGACGGAGGGGGAGACGAGGCCCGUUCCGUAUGCGUGUUGGCUCNNNNNNNNNNNNNNNNNNNNNNNNNNNNNNNNNNNNNNNNNNNNNNNNNNNNNNNNNNNNNNNNNNNNNNNNNNNNNNNNNNNNNNNNNNNNNNNNNNNNNNNNNNNNNNNNNNNNNNNNNNNNNNNNNNNNNNNNNNNNNNNNNNNNNNNNNNNNNNNNNNNNNNNNNNNNNNNNNNNNNNNNNNNNNNNNNNNNNNNNNNNNNNNNNNNNNNNNNNNNNNNNNNNNNNNNNNNNNNNNNNNNNNNNNNNNNNNNNNNNNNNNNNNNNNNNNNNNNNNNNNNNNNNNNNNNNNNNNNNNNNNNNNNNNNNNNNNNNNNNNNNNNNNNNNNNNNNNNNNNNNNNNNNNNNNNNNNNNNNNNNNNNNNNNNNNNNNNNNNNNNNNNNNNNNNNNNNNNNNNNNNNNNNNNNNNNNNNNNNNNNNNNNNNNNNNNNNNNNNNNNNNNNNNNNNNNNNNNNNNNNNNNNNNNNNNNNNNNNNNNNNNNNNNNNNNNNNNNNNNNNNNNNNNNNNNNNNNNNNNNNNNNNNNNNNNNNNNNNNNNNNNNNNNNGUCCGGUGGCGAAUGAUCUGUCUUUUUUUUUUUUGAGGGUCCGAAUGUUCUGUCGAGAAGUGUUGUUUACUAUUGUUGUUUUCUCUUGGACGUUUAUAUUGGUCAAGGUAUUAGUGCUAGUUAUUAGAGUUUUUAUAACGAGAUAUAAGGAGAGUUGUUUAUUUUGUGGGAAAAGUGCACCGGAGGAGGGGGUGGCUUACCAUCGAAGUUUACCUUUCUUUUUUAAACACGGGAAGGGAUUCUAGAUCUGGUAUUAAAAUAAAAAAAUAGUAGCCCUCUGUAAAGAAAUAUAAGAGUAUUUAGAGUAUACUAGUACAAAUGCCCGUGCGUUGCAACGGGCGAAAAAAUUACAAAACAUACUUCGUGUGCCACCUUGUGCCAUUUCUUAUAACCAAUUCUAUAAAUCUUGGUAAUAAGGUUGUUCGGAGCAUGAAGUGUGGACGUGAAGAACCAACCUAACUUGCUUUGUCUAGUGAAAGAGUAGUGGUGAAAUAGUAUGUGGAUCGGUUAUAUGUUUUGCUUUUAAAAAAACACAAAUAUUUGUUUAUUUUUUAAGAAAUUAAACAAUUUUAAGUUUUUUUAAUUGGAACUGGAACAUGUUUUGAGGCCAAACAUUUUAUGAACACAUUAUUUUUUUGAAUUUAUUUAUUUAUUUUGUGAACAAUUAUAUAUGUUUAUAUAUGUUUAUUUAUUUUGUUUUUAGGCAUUUCCUAAAAGUGUGAACAUAUUUAAAAUAUGUUUAUAUAUUUUUAAACCAAGAACAAUUAGAAACUCUCAUUAUCUUAAAAAAACACGCCCAAUGCCUGUAAAAAAAAAUGAUUCCUGGUGUCCGGACCAUGGAGUAUAGAGUUAGAGCAUGGUUAAUAGUAUAGCCGACCGCUGGCUAUAUGAUCUUGCCACAUCAUCUAUAUCCUACCUUAUAGCCAGCAAGUACAAUAGUUACAUAUAAAUAUGUACUACUUUGGUGAUACAUGACACAUCUUUCUCUCUCACAAAGUGUCUAGGAGCGCGUGCUAGAGGCGACUGUUAAUCAGUGCCCGCUUCUCUUCUCUCUCCUCUUCUCUCUCCUCCAAUUCAUAAAAAAUAUAAUAUUUAAACCCUUACAACCCGCCUACAUCAUCCUAUUGUACUUGCUUAAAGAAGUUGUAGUGGUGUCCUUUGAUGGCGCCUCUUUCAGCUUAGCACUAUCACUGGGUGGAAAAGUGGUGCAUUUAUUUUUAGUGGGUCAUACAAAUGUUAGAAUGUUCUAUACUAAUCAAGAGUUUAUUAACUAAUUCAAAAGUUUUGUUAGAAUUUUCAAAAGAUUUAAAUUCAAACGGAUUUUUACUAUGUGGAUUUUUUAGAGAUAAUUGUUUGUUUUGAUUUGGAAGAGUUCAAAUAUGCACGUGCGUUGCAAAAGGAGGGAAGAUUGAUGUGUCCACCAAAACACACAUCAUCAUAGCACGGCGGGGGUAGGGAGGUGCAUGCCGAUAGAUUCGUCAGUUUCUCUUUAACCAUGACAACCAACCUCUGGUUGGAUUGGAUGGUUUGGAGGGCGAUGGUACCCAAUACCAACAGGAAUUAAAAUCUAGCUUUGACGCUUUCAUGUCUCAUGAAGGCGAAAUAUUUUUUUUCUGGGUGGCGAUUUUCGCGCCGAUAGCGAGACACUUGUGGUGCGUUCAUCAGUCUCAAAACCCAUCCAGUCAGUCUCUCAAGGGGUUAGUGUAUGUAUGUGUGUGAGUCUCUGUUUGUACUGUGUUUUUCAAAAGAAGGUUCCAUCUAACUUUUGUAUGCAGCAAUUUAAUGUGUCGUGCGUCCCAUCGGAAGGAGAAAAUCAUCGCAUGUUUUUAGUGUCUCAUUCAUGUUGCCACUUUUCUUGUUUGACACCAUCCUCAAUGAUGAUAUGAUUUUUGGUGUUCGCAAUUUAGAAAACUUGAUGAACCCACAUUCAUGUCCUUCGAUGUUGCUUCAAUCAGCACCACACUAUCACCGGAUAGGAGUAGUGGUGCAUUGAUGUGAGAUUUUUAUAUAUAGUUAUUUGUUAAUAUUCAAAAGCAAGCAUGUUUUUGCUAUGUUGAUUUUCUUUUUAGAAAAUGUUGGUUGUUUGCUUUGCAAUAUUACAUUAAGUUUCUUUUCGUUUUGCACUUCUUGGACUUGGCCCAAACACAAGCUUCUCGUGUUGAUUGUAGGUUCUUUCUUUUAAAAAACACGCACAUUUUGUAGAGUCCAGAAUCGCACACGCAUCUCUUUCAGUUCUAGAUCACAAUAAAAAAGGAAAGUUUCCUAGCACAUAAUCUUAGUGUGCAUGUAUCCAACGGCUUGAAAAGGUGUCUGAGACUCCGUUAGCGAACCCUUUAAAGUUAGUAGAUUUUUUAGGGGUCUUUAAAAUUAGUAGCUGAAGUCAUUUAAAAAAAUAGCUAGCUCAAAGUAGAGGCGAAAGGCGAUGAUUGAAUUUAAAUGCAUAUUUUCUAAUUAGUGCAUCUAAUUCAUUUUUUUUAUAAAUAUCAAUUUAGUCAAGCAUAUGCCUGUAUGAUCGUUCACGUACGACAAUAUUUUUUUAAGAAAACUUAGUCGGCUCUGCUGUACGAGAUUACAAUAUUUCUUCUGGAUAAACUAUUGAUGUCAAAAUCCACAAAUACGAAUCAUAUGCAUAGCACGCAUGCACAACAAUCAUUGCCUUUCAACUGACUACAGACAAAUCACGAGCAUUUCCAUCCCAAACACCACACGGGGCGCAUCGUCGGCUUGUUUCUUGCAUGUUUACACCAAUGCAUAUAUGUACACACACACCAUAUAUGAGGUCUAGCUACGAACCUCUGGAGCAUUUGGUACUGCUCCCAUGCAUACUACUGCAGUGCAGCCGAUCAGGCGCUGUGCCCUAGAACCGGCGGGCUCCACUUCCCCAUGUUGUAGCUGUCCGCAAGCGCUGAUGCUGGCCUCCUUCUCGGUCUCGGAGACGCCAUUGUUGCAGAUGUUUGUGAACGCCCUCAUGUGUUUCGUGCCAUACUGAGUGAGUGAUCCGCACCGGGACUCGAAAUCUCGCACCUGACAGCAGUGAUUGGCAUCAGUACACAGUAAACUUAACCUGAACCGGAAACAUAAAGAGUACUGCAGGGUGUUGCAUAUUUAUGGGAUUGUAAACAAGGAAUUGUUACACUCACCAUCAUCUUCAGACAAUCCCAAUAGUCUACUAAUGGCUGGCCAGGGCCUUUAGUAGCCUCAAGCACCGAAGGUCCCUCAAAUCCAAAGACAAGCUUCCCGAUGAAAUCGAUACUGCUGUCGAGAUGCUUCCUGUGUAACACAGUUUCUUUGACCUCCCUGAGAGGUGAGAGCCCUCUGCUUCUCCUCUGAUCCAACAUUUAACUGCUCAUACUGAAAGCGAGAAGAUACAUUGUUAGCAGACAAAUUUGGCAAAACAAAACACAUGAAAAUUAGUAGUAACAGAGAAGAUGAGCUACACAAGAAAUAUAUAACUGGGAUUUUACCUUCUUCCACAUGAAAAGAAUAUCAACAUCUCUUUGAUUGAUUGCACCCUUGAGGCUGGGCGAAAGCAGCGGCCUGUUUGUGAUGCUUGACUUCACAGGAUAGAAACCUUGAUAAAGGAAAAGCUUGUCAUCCUUGAAUGUCUUGUUACCAUACUCCAUGACAUGAGAACCGAUAUUGGAGUCAUUUGGGGGUGCCGUUCUUGCUUUAACCACCUCGUACUGCUGCUUGAUGGUUUCCUUGUGUAGAUUGUGAGUUUCACUGCACAGUAGGAUCCCAUGGUUCAGAAUAGCAAGACAACAUACAGAGCAUAAAUAUUACACCUGAUGCUUUUUACCUGUCUUCCAUCCAAGAAACCCUGUAUGCGUCACCCAAGCAGGUCAUACAUUCAGGAGGAGCUGGUGUUUCCAUCCCAGGGCAGUAUGCUCCCUAGCUACUUUCUUCCGCAUUUGCUGCUGUUGUAACAUAAAUAUUAAGGUCUUGUGGCAUUAAUCCCUCAAAGAUACUGCCACUUUCACAUGCUUCAACAUAUAUGAUCUGCCAAAAUUGCAAUUCUAGUUGAAUAUAAGACUCAAAACAGACCGUUUCAGCUUAAUAAAUAUAUUUUUUAAUGGAAAAGAAAAAAGAGAGGAUAGAUACCAUCUCGGAAUAGCUUUUGGAAGCAUGCUUUUGCCGUAGCACUUUGAUGAAGUCGCCAGGAAAAAAAAAUGGCAGGUUGGGCAUACCUACAUGGGUCUUUAACAGAAUCAAAGACAUAGUGAGAGUGUUCCUGAGACUGAGGGCGUCUGCAAUGAUAAUCAUCAAAUGUUUUCGUGUCGUAACAAGAUCUGCGGACCCCAAUGCCUUGAUUAAAUGUACACAUGGUUCCAGCGGCACGAGCUUAAAAUUGCACAAAAGGACCAACAAACCUAGCUCUCGAUAAAAAAUAUAAGCUCCAAAACAUGUACAAUUAAUGAAACUUCUCUCUUCAACUUAUCCUCUGAAUAUUUUUACCAAUUUUUUUAUAUUUUUUCUCAAGAUGCUUAUUGACUUAAGCUUUCCAGAGUAAAAAGAAUCACUCAAUUCCAAGUUUACGUGAGGGGGUCAAUAAAAUCUCCAACCGAUCUAAAAAAUUGUGACAAACAAUGGUUCGCAACUUCGAAGGCCAAAAGAUUGUUCGAUAAAGAGCACAUUUGAAAUAGCAAAACAGAAUGCUAUGUGAUAAGAAAAAAUUCUGUUUUUCACCUAGACAUUAAAAAAAAUCUCAAGUCACUCUGAUCCAUUCUGUGUUAUUCAGUGCACUACAAUUUAUUCACCAACAAAAUAAAGACCAAGAAGCAAUGAAUCUGGAGGUUACUGACCUUGAUGCAGCAAAGGAGACACGGCUAUAUGUGGUUCUGCUCGAUAGCCCAUAAGUACAGCAUGAGAUCCUUCUUAUUGCUCCUGUACGUUGUCUCAUUCAGACAACUGUAGCUACUAACAUCAAUCAACAUUCCUUCCAAGAACUUGAAUUCGGUAGACACUAUCAAUGCCUUGGAGUACAUUGGAUCUAAAGGCAGCCUAGCCAUCUACCCACUGGAUUUGAAAGCUUACAAUGAUCAGUCAAAUAAUUUAUCAUAAUAACCUGAAUAAACCCACAUCAUGUAAGUAAUAUGAUAUCUCAAUUAGGGUGUGUGUCUAUGUGUGUGCCCAUGUAGCUAGUCUAUUUGCAAAUGAAACUGCUCCAAGAAAAUUUCAAUUAGAGCUAGGUGAUAGUGACAGAUUGCUACAUAUAUAUGUGAACCUGUAUUAUCAUACAGUCAUACAUACUUGAGCUAGCUGAUAGUGAUAGAUUACUACAUCUAUAUGUGAACCUUUAUUAUCCUACUCUGCUUCUCUUGAUCCUCUUUGCCUUGCUAUAAAGCUCAGUUUUGGAAACUUAACCCUGAACUUCCAAAACAUGCUUUCAUUUUCCAAAAAGGAAGUAAAUUUCUUUGGCAUGAUCAAGCCAAAUCAACCUUAUCCAUCUUGGUCCCUAGCUCAAAUGAUAUAAAGUUGAGGCAACUGACCUUUUCCACUUUACAAUCAGAUUACAGUCUGCAUAACCCUGGUCCAGGCAAAACUCAUACAGAUCAUUUGACAUAUCCUUCCUUCUAUGGAAAAGAUCAUAAAUGUAAUGGCUUCUUGAAAUGCGGGAAAUUGGGUAGAGUGCUUUGCACUUUCUCUUCCUGUCAUGUGUAUCAUUUUCAGAUGUGCGUGCAGAUCAUAUUAGUACUCAUCCUGUAGUAUGAAAUAUCAAUCGACAUCUGAAAAGGUCACAUUGAUAGAUAGCAUGCUUAAUAAAAUGCAUACCUUCUCUAAUUUUGGCAUCCAGCUCACAGAUUGUGGGUUCAAUAAGCACCCACCCUUCAGUAUAUUCGACAUGGCCUAUCUUUAUCUUAGGCAUACUAUCACAAGGGGUGUCCUAAGGCAGGCUUGGAAUGCACAAACCUGAGAAACAAUAGAACAUAUGCCUUGUCUGGGAAUUGCAACUUAUAAUUAUUAAAAGGAACUGUCACAUACAUAAACUAAUCAGACCAGCAGGCACUCAAUUGACUGAACAAAACACUCUCAUUAAGCGAUUAACUAUCUCUUAUGAUAUCUAUGGUAUAAUAGAAUAAACAAAUCAGAAAAGCAAUAUAUGAUGACUGAAACUGGUUGUUUGCUAUCAAGAAAAGUAGUGGUGUUGCAGCAAGAUGAUCUGAAUGUAAAUCAAAUGGAGCUGAAUUUUAACCGUGCUUCUUGCGGCUAGUUCAUCUAGCGAUGGAAUAUGAGUAAACCAUCUAGCUUAACAUAACUAUUUAAUAGGUUCAGUUUUUAUUCCUGUCAAAUCUGAAUAUAAAUACCACAACAGUUACCAACUUCAUGAUGUGUGUAUCAGGACCACAUAAACUUUCUGAAGUUUUCAUGCUAAUACUCCAAUUCUGGAGUUUUACUGAUACUCCAAAGUAAAAAAGGUACAUCAUACAUUUUUCCGAGUGUUGAUCAAAAUUUCCAGAAACAGCAGCCCAUUGAUAUUUGGAAAAGAGGUUUGAGCUGAACCAUAUCUUCAAGCAAGUUAAUUCUCAAUCAUGUGUCAGGCGUACAACACAUUACUUCCUCGGGGUCGCUAGAACUAAAUUUAACAGUAUGAAUAGCAUAUAUAGGUAAUUUCUGAUGGUCAUCACAAUACAGCAAACCAAACGAAUAGAACAUCUUUGUGACAGCGAAAUUAUAGGAAAUCAGUAUGAUUCUAUCUAUAUCAAUCGACCAGAAGGUACAGGUUACAGUAAGCAACCGAAGAAUAUAUAAAAUCCUAUCAAAACUCAUGCUCUUUUCAAAUUUCGGUUUCAAAAAGAUUACAGUAAGCAACCGAAGAAUAUAUAAAAUCCUAUCACAACUCAUGCUCUUUUCAAAUUUCAGUUUCAAAAAGAUCCUAAAACAUAACAAACAUGUCGCAAAAAGCCAUCAAAACAAGCCGAUCAAUCAAUUCAGAUCAAAUUCUACUGACACGUCCAUCUCCCUUGUUCAUCCAGAAGGAAGCAGAAAUAGGCGUCCUGACAGUCAGCGACACCAAGAUAACCACAGGCGGUAUGGCCGUCAGCCCGACACCAAGGUUCUGGCUCCCACGGUCGGUCAACUUGGCUGUGCUACAGGACAGCCACAUGGGCGUCGCACUGACUUGAAGACCACAUGCAUGUGGAGCAUGAGCGUGGUGGUAGGCUCCGACGACCACGAGUGCAGCAACUCCAACGGCCAACAAACUUGUGUAUGUGCUAGGUCCUGUUGUUAAUAGAAGGAACUUGCAAGCUUGCUAUGAAUGUGAGGAAAAAAUGGCGUUGUAGACAUGUGAUAUCCUGACUUGAUUGAACUGGAAACAGAAAAGAAAAAAUGGGAGGGAGAUGACCAAUUGUCAAGCUGAAUGUUGUGUGUACUUGUAUUAGUUAAAACUGACCCAUUCACUGUACGAUUUUAUCUUUGAAAGAUGGUUGGAAGAGAAAUCUUAUUUAUAUGUAAGUUAAUUCUGCAGAUGACAGGUCAUGGUUUUGCUUGUUUGCAACCUGCAACAUCUUAAUUUCUUUACUUUGCACAUGAAUAUGUAGAUGGAUGGAAUUUGACAGCAUAACAUCAUCUAUAUAUUACAAAAUUUGAUAGGCCCAUGCAAUUUGACAGCAAUGUAUCAGAAAACUUGGUUAACCAAUGGUUUCUGCAACUCAAGUAAAUGGGGAAUGAGUGAUUUUCUGCAGUUCAAGAACAUGGCGAUUUAUGAACAGAUCGUGGGGAAUUAGGAAAAGAGAGGAGAUGAAUGGAUUACCUGAUGGUGAUGAAGUCCUCAUUCGUACGCCACCCCUGGCCUGGUUGGUGUACUGUCGCCCGACCGGCCGGCUCUGGAUCCCUCCGUCUGCAGCGCACGUCCUCCGUCGCUCGGCUCUGGCGAGCUCCUGCCUAGCACACCGCACCUCCCCUCCUUCCUUCCUUCUUCUCUCCCUCAUCUCCACUCUUCUUUCUGCCCAGGAGCCGCGGAUGCCAUGGAUCUGCCAGGGAAACCACGCUUCGGCCUUCCUCAUCGUCACCGGCGACCCCUGCCUCGCCGCCUGCCUCCGAAUCGGCCUCCCCAGCCUCUGCUGCACACGGAUCCGGCCCCUACAAGCUCCAGCCGCCGGCGUCGUGCCGCAUCGAGCAGCCGCCGCCGCCAGACGCCGGCGUCGUUCCGCAUCGAGCAGCCGCCGCCCCCAGUCGCUCGUUAUGCACGGGUCUUUUUUGCAAUGUUUUCUGAGAGCCAGGAUCGCGGGUUCAAUACACCAAAAUGGAGAGUUUUUUUUGUAAAAACGAAACGUUUUCUCUGGUAACCACUAAAACAGGGACUGCGGGUUGAUUUCGUGUAAACUGAGGGGCUGUUUUGCAAAACAACCACGACGGACGACCAGAAGCAAUCGCUGGUUUAUUAGUAGGUAAAAAGAUAAUAUGACGAUUGCUGCGAAUCCGGCUGGGUAGCCGUUCGAUCGAUCAAUGCGCGGGUGCCGUUGGAUCACAACGAUGCCACGGAAGCAGCAAGGCCUGCGACUGCUUUGACGUAACGAUGCUGCACCUCGGCAGAACCUCCACCGCAGCUCUCAUGGCGCACCACCGCGCGUCCGGCGAAGCUCCAACGCAGCACCGACGACGUCCGGCGAAGCUCCAAUGCAUCUCCGGUAGAGCUCCAACGCAGCACCCGCGACGUCCGGCAGAGCUCCGAAGCAGCACCGACGGCGUCCAGCGAAGCUCCAAUGCAACUCCGACGGCUCCGGUGAAGCUCCAAUGCAACUGCGGCAGAGCUCGAUGAAAGCACAAGUGCUCCCUAGGUGGUUUUGGUAAUUAAUGUUAACAUAUCUCUUGUUGGACUAACACUUUUAUCUAGCAUGUUUCAGAUACGUUCAACAAUGGAGUGGCAUGGACUAAAGGAUAUGGGAACUCCUUGCGGAUGCUAAGGACAAAGGAUUGGCUCAAGCUUCAAGCUCAAGACUCUUCAUUUUACAUUUUAGUGGUCCAAGAUCACAUUGAGUCUAUAGGAAAAGCCAAUACUAUCAAGGAGGGAUGAGGUGUUGCUUAAUGAGCCUCUUGCUUCAUGUGCUUAGUGAUAUGCUCCAAAACCCUCAACUAAUUUCUCACUUCCACAAAUGACCUAAACCUAAAGCCAAAAUCGGUCACACCGAUUCUUCCUAUCCGGCGCCACCGAUUCCAAAAGUCAUAGCCACUGCCACAAAUCCUAAGCAAAUCGGUCUUACCGAUAGGGACCUCGGUCUCACCGAGAUUACUAUGUAUGUCCAUUACCAAAAUCGGUCUCACCGAGUUUGAGCAAUCGGUACUACCGAGAUUACAAUGCAAACUCUCUGGAUAACUUAUUACCAAAAUCAGCGCCACCGAGUUUGAGUAAUCGGUCCCACCGAGUUUGCCUGACCAACUCUCUGGAAAGCUUGUUACCAAAAUCGGUCUCACCGAGUUUGUGUAAUCGGUCUUACCGAGAUUACGUUAUGCCCUAACCCUAACCAUAUCGGUCUCACCGAGUUGCAUUUCGGUCCCACCGAAAACCCUAAUGGUCACAUUAUUUGCUAAAUCGGUCUGACCGAGUUUAACGAUUUAGUCCCACCGAGUUUGGUAGAUUGUGUGUAACGGUUAGAUUUUGUGUGGAGGCUAUAUAUACCCCUCCACCUCCUCUUCAUUUGUGGAGAGAGCCAUCGGACAGAACCUACACUUCCAGCAUACAUUUUCUGAGAGAGAACUACCUACUCAUGUGUUGAGGCCAAGAUAUUCCAUUCCUACCAUAUGAAUCUUGAUCUCUAGCCUUCCCCAAGUUGCUUUCCACUCAAAUCUUCUUUCCACCAGAUCCAAAACCUAUGAGAGAGAGUUGAGUGUUGGGGAGACUAUCAUUUGAAGCACAAGAGCAAGGAGUUCAUCACCAACACACCAUUUGUUACUUCUUGGAGAGUGGUGUCUCCUAGAUUGGCUAGGUGUCACUUGGGAGCCUCCGACAAGAUUGUGGAGUUGAACCAAGGAGUUUGUAAGGGCAAGGAGAUCGCCUACUUCGUGAAGAUCUACCGCUAGUGAGGCAAGUCCUUCGUGGGCGACGGCCAUGGUGGGAUAGACAAGGUUGCUUCUUCGUGGACCCUUCAUGGGUGGAGCCCUCCGUGGACUCGCGCAACUGUUACCCUUCGUGGGUUGAAGUCUCCAUCAACGUGGAUGUACGAUAGCACCACCUAUCGGAACCACGCCAAAAACAUCCGUGUCUCCAAUUGCGUUUGAAUCCUCCAAACCCUUCCCUUUACUUUCUUGCAAGUUGCAUGCUUUACUUUCCGCUGCUCAUAUACUCUUGCAUGCUUGCUUGAUAUGUAUUGUGAAUGUUAAACUUGUGCCUAAACUCCACUUAAACUUAAGGAAACUUAAAAACUGCAACUUUGGUACUUAGUGUCUAAUCAGCCCCCCUCUAGACACCUCUUCUCAAGGUCCUACAAGUGGUAUCAGAGCAUUGGUCUCCAUUGCUUUGGUUUAAUCACCAUUGGAGGAAGAUGGAUGAGUCUACUAUUGGGAGUCUUAGACAUAGAGUGCCUAUUCUUGAUGAAGAGUAUUUUCAUGAGUGGAAAAAUGAGAUGCUUGUAAUUUUCAAUCAAUAUCAUUUGAACAAGUACAUUGCUAGCCCUUGUGCACCUUAUGUUGAUCCUAUGCAUCCUACCCAUGAUGAGUCAAUUGACAUGAUUAGGAAUCUUAGAACUGCCGAACUUAUCAUUAGAGGAUUGCCUAGAAACUUGAUUGGUUGUUUGCCUACUUUCAAGUGUGCCUACACUAUAUGGAAAUUUCUUGAGGAACGAUUUCCAGAUUAUUCCUUGAAAAAUCUUGAUGAAAUUCUUCAUAAGUCUAUUGCCUUGAGUAAGAUGAAUUCUAGUGAUCCUAUGUUUGGUGAUCGUCUAUUUGAGCUUACAAACCUUAUGCGUGUCAAAGGAAAUGUUGGUAUUAUUAGUGAUAUUAUUUCCAAAGCUAUAAAAAUUCAUAAGCAAGAUCAUUGUCAAACUCAUUCUAAUGAAUCACCCUCUCUAGGAUUUGAUCCACCACAUGACGAUGUUGAACAUGGAUACUAUGAUGAGGAUGAUGAUAGUGACUUCGAUCUUGAUGAUGCAAUGAGACAUUUUGGUCUUAUGGCAAAUCUUCGGGGAUAUAUGUCAGGAGGAAAGGAAUGGGUUCUUGAUAGUGGAUGUACCCAUCACAUGACUGGAGAUAAAGACAUGUUUCGUGAGCUUGCUGAUAAUGAUAGUCCUUGAAAGUAUGUCACUUUCGGUGACAACUCAAAGGGUAAGGUGGUUGGCCUCGGUAAGGUGGCCAUAUCACAUGAUAGCUCCAUACAAAAUGUUAUGCUCGUUGAAUCUCUUGGAUACAACUUACUUUCAGUAUCUAGACUUGUUGAUUUCGGUUUCAAUAUAUUAUUUACUGAAGUAGAUUGCCAAGUCUUUCGUCGAGACAAUCAUAAAAUGGUCUUUACCGGUGUGCGUAGAGGUGAUCUAUACAUUGUUGAUUUCACUAAAAAGGCUCAACCUAAAACUUGCUUCAUUGCUAAAUCCUCAAAAGGUUGGUUAUGGCAUAGACGACUAGGUCAUGUUGGUAUGCGAAACCUUGACAAGCUUAUAAAAGGAAAUCAUAUCCUUGGAGUUAACGAUGUCAUAUUUGAUAAGGAUAGACUUUGCAGUGUUUGUCAAGCAGGUAAACAGGUUGGAGGAAGGCAUCCCGUGAAGAACAUCAUGACCACAAGGAGGCCACUCGAGCUACUUCACAUGGAUCUCUUUGGUCCCAACUCUUACAAGAGUCUCGGUGGAAAUUCUUUUGGUCUAGUUAUAGUUGAUGAUUUUUCAAGAUUUACGUGGGUGUUCUUUCUCGAUGAUAAAUUUGUUGGGGAACGUAGUAAUUUCAAAAUUUUCCUACGCACACGCAAGAUCAUGGUGAUGAUAUAGCAACGAGGGGAGAGUGUUGUCUACGUACCCUCGUAGACCGAAGCGGAAGCGUUGACGCAACGUAGAGGAAGUAGUCGUACAUCCUCCCGGUCCGACCGAUCCAAGCACCGUUACUCCGGCACCUCCGAGUUCUUGACACGCGUACAGCUCGAUGACGCACCCUCGAUCUCCAAUCUAGUAGAGGCGCCGAGGGGGAGUUUCGUCAGCACGACGGCGUGGUGACGAUCUUGAUGUUCUCCUGUCGCAGGGCUUCGCCUAAGCACCACCACAAUAUGAUCGAGGUGUAAUAUCGUGGAGGGGGGCACCGCACACGGCUAAGGAACGAUCAAUGAUCAACUUGUGUGUCUAGGGUGCCCCCCUACCCCCGUAUAUAAAGGAGGGAGGGAGGAGGUGGCCGGCCCAAGGGGGGGCGCGCCAUAGGAGGAGGAAACCUACUCCAAGUAGGUUUCCCCUCUUUUUCCUAAUCCAAGUUGGAGGGGGGAGGAAGGAGUACUAGUAGNNNNNNNNNNNNNNNNNNNNNNNNNNNNNNNNNNNNNNNNNNNNNNNNNNNNNNNNNNNNNNNNNNNNNNNNNNNNNNNNNNNNNNNNNNNNNNNNNNNNNNNNNNNNNNNNNNNNNNNNNNNNNNNNNNNNNNNNNNNNNNNNNNNNNNNNNNNNNNNNGAAGGAGAAAGGAAAGGGGGGGGGGGGCCCUCCCAAAUUCGGAUUGGGCUUGGGGGGGCGCGCCCCCCUCCCUUGCUCCUUUUCCCUUCCUUCCACUUGGGCCCAAUAAGGCCCAUAUACUUACCGGGGGGUUCCGGUAACCUCCCGGAGCUCCGGUAUAUUCCCAAACUCUCCCGGAACCUUUCCGGUGUCCAAAUAUAUCCGUCCAAUAUAUCAAUCUUUAUGUCUCGACCAUUUCGAGACUCCUCGUCAUGUCCGUGAUCAUAUCCGGGACUCUGAACAACCUUCGGUACAUCAAAAUACAUAAACUCAUAAUAUAACUGUCAUCGAAACCUUAAGCGUGCGGCCCCUACGGUUCGAGAACAAUGUAGACAUGACCGAGACACGUCUCUGGUCAAUAACCAAUAGCGGGACCUGGAUGCCCAUAUUGGUUCCUACAUAUUCUACGAAGAUCUUUAUCGGUCAAACCGCAUAACAACAUACUUUGUUCCCUUUGUCAUCGGUAUGUUUACUUGCCCGAGAUUUGAUCGUCGGUAUCCAAUACCUAGUUAAAUCUCGUUACCGGCAAGUCUCUUUACUCGUUCUGUAAUACGUCAUCUCAUAACUAACUCAUUAGUUAUAUGCUUGCAAGGCUUAAGUGAUGAGUAUUACCGAGAGGGCCCAGAGAUACCUCUCCGACAAUCGGAGUGACAAAUCCUAAUCUCGAAUUAUGCCAACUCAACAUGAACCUUCGGAAACACCUGUAGAGCACCUUUAUAAUCACCCAGUUACGUUGUGACGUUUGGUAGCACACAAAGUGUUCUUCCGGUACACGGGGGUUGCACAAUCUCAUAGUUGCAGGAACUUUGUAUAAGUCAUGAAGAAAGCAAUAGCAGUAUACUAAACGAUCAAGUGCUAGGCUAACAAAAUGGGUCAUGUCAAUCACAUCAUUCUUCUAAUGAUGUGAUCCCACUAAUCAAAUGACAACACAUGUCUAUGGUCAGGAAACAUGACCAUCUUUGAUCAAUGAGCUAGUCAAGUAGAGGCAUACUAGUGACUAUAUGUUUGUCUAUGUAUUCACACAUGUAUCAUGUUUCCGGUUAAUACAAUUCUAGCAUGAAUAAUAAACAUUUAUCAUGAUAUGAGGAAAUAAAUAAUAACUUUAUUAUUGCCUCUAGGGCAUAUUUCCUUCAGUCUCCCACUUGCACUAGAGUCAAUAAUCUAGAUUACAUAGUAAUGAUUCUAACACCCAUGGAGUCUUGGUGCUGAUCAUGUUUUGCUCGUGAGAGAGGCUUAGUCAACGGGUCUGCAACAUUCAGAUCCGUAUGUAUCUUGCAAAUCUCUAUGUCUCCCACUUGGACUUGGUCCCGAAUGGAAUUGAAGCGUCUCUUGAUGUGCUUGGUCCUCUUGUGAAAUCUGGAUUCCUUUGCCAAGGCAAUUGCACCAGUAUUGUCACAGAAGAUCUUCAUUGGUCCCGAUGCACUAGGUAUGACACCUAGAUCGGAAAUGAACUCCUUCAUCCAGACUCCUUCAUUUGCUGCUUCAGAAGCAGCUAUGUACUCCGCUUCACAUGUAGAUCCCUCCAUGACGCUUUGUUUAGAACUGCACCAACUUACAGCUCCACCGUUUAAUAAAAACACGUAUCCGGUUUGCGAUUUAGAAUCAUCCGGAUCAGUGUCAAAGCUUGCAUCGACGUAAUCAUUUAUGACUAGCUCUUUGUCACCUCCAUAUACGAGAAACAUAUCCUUAGUCCUUUUCAGGUAUUUCAGGAUGUUCUUGACCGCUGUCCAGUGAUCCACUCCUGGAUUACUUUGGUACCUUCCUGCUAAGCUUAUUGCUAAGCAUACGUCAGGUCUGGUACACAGCAUUGCAUACAUGAUAGAGCCUAUGGCUGAAGCAUAGGGAACAUUUUUCAUUUUCUCUCUAUCUUCUGCUGUGGUCGGGCAUUGAGUUCGACUCAACUUCACACCUUGUAGCACAGGCAAGAAUCCUUUCUUUGCCUGAUCCAUAUUGAACUUUUUCAAUAUUUUGUCAAGGUAUGUGCUUUGUGAAAGUCCUAUUAAGCGUCUUGAUCUAUCUCUAUAGAUCUUGAUGCCUAAUAUGUAAGCAGCUUCACCGAGGUCUUUCAUUGAAAAACUUUUAUUCAAGUAUCCCUUUAUGCUAUCCAGAAAUUCUAUAUCAUUUCCAAUUAAUAAUAUGUCAUCAACAUAUAAAACUAGAAAUGCUACAGAGCUCCCACUCACUUUCUUGUAAAUACAGGCUUCUCCAAAAGUCUGUAUAAAACCAUAUGCUUUGAUCACACUAUCAAAACGCUUAUUCCAGCUCCGAGAUGCUUGCACCAGUCCAUAAAUGGAACGCUGGAGCUUGCAAACUUUGUCAGCACCUUUUGGAUCAACAAAACCUUCUGGCUGCAUCAUAUACAACUCUUCUUCUAGAAAUCCAUUCAAGAAUGCAGUCUUGACAUCCAUUUGCCAAAUUUCAUAAUCAUGAAAUGCAGCAAUGGCCAACAUGAUUCGGACAGACUUAAGCAUCGCUACGGGUGAGAAAGUCUCAUCGUAGUCAACCCCUUGAACUUGUCGAAAACCUUUUGCAACAAGUCGAGCUUUAUAGACAGUAACAUACCAUCAGCGUCAGUCUUCUUCUUAAAGAUCCAUUUAUUCUCAAUGGCUUGCCGAUCAUCGGGCAAAGUCAACCAAAGUCCACACUUUGUUUUCAUACAUGGAUCCUAUCUCAGAUCUCAUGGCCUCUAGCCAUUUUGCGGAAUCUGGGCUCAUCAUCGCUUCCUCAUAGUUCGUAGGUUCAUCAUGGUCAAGUAACAUGACUUCCAGAAUAGGAUUACCGUACCACUCUGGUGCGGAUCUUACUCUGGUAGACCUACGAGGUUCAGCAGAAACUUGAUCUGAAGUUUCAUGAUCAAUAUCAUUAGCUUCCUCACUAGUUGGUGUAGUUGUCACGGGAACCGGUUCUCGUGAUGAACUACCUUCCAACAAGGGAGUAGAUACAGUUAUCUCAUCAAGUUCUACUUUCCUCCCACUCACUUCUUUCGAGAGAAAUUCCUUCUCUAGAAAGGAUCCAUUCUUAGCAACGAAUGUUUUGCCUUCGGAUCUGUGAUAGAAGGUGUACCCAACAGUCUCUUUUAGGUAUCCUAUGAAGACACAUUUCUCCGAUUUGGGUUCAAGCUUAUCUGGUUGAAGUUUCUUCACAUAAGCAUCGCAGCCCCAAACUUUAAGAAACGACAACUUUGGUUUCUUGCCAAACCAUAGUUCAUAAGGCGUCGUCUCAACGGAUUUUGAUGGUGCCCUAUUUAACGUGAAUGCGGCCGUCUCUAAAGCAUAACCCCAAAACGAUAGCGGUAAAUUGGUAAGAGACAUCAUAGAUCGCACCAUAUCAAGUAAAGUACGAUUACGACGUUCGGACACACCAUUUCGUUGUGGUGUUCCAGGUGGCGUGAGUUGUGAAACUAUUCCGCAUUGUUUCAAAUGUAAACCAAACUCGUAACUCAAAUAUUCUCCUCCACGAUCAGAUCGUAGAAACUUUAUUUUCUUGUUACGAUGAUUUUCUACUUCACUCUGAAAUUCUUUGAACUUUUCAAAUGUUUCAGACUUGUGCUUCAUUAAGUAGAUAUACCCAUAUCUGCUCAAAUCAUCUGUGAAGGUGAGAAAAUAACGAUAUCCGCCACGAGCUUCAACAUUCAUCGGGCCACAUACAUCUGUAUGUAUGAUUUCCAACAAAUCUGUUGCUCUCUCCAUAGUUCCGGAGAACGGCGUUUUGGUUAUCUUGCCCAUGAGGCACGGUUCGCAAGUACCAAGUGAUUCAUAAUCAAGUGAUUCCAGAAGUCCAUCAGUAUGGAGUUUCUUCAUGCGUUUUACACCGAUAUGACCUAAACGGCAGUGCCACAAAUAAGUUGCACUAUCAUUAUCAACUCUGCAUCUUUUGGCUUCAACAUUAUGAAUAUGUGUAUCACUACUAUCGAGAUUCAAUAAAAAUAGACCACUCUUCAAGGGUGCAUGACCAUAAAAGAUAUUACUCAUAUAAAUAGAACAACCAUUAUUCUCUGAUUUAAAUGAAUAACCGUCUCGCAUCAAACAAGAUCCAGAUAUAAUGUUCAUGCUCAACGCAGGCACCAAAUAACAAUUAUUUAGGUCUAAAACUAAUCCCGAUGGUAGAUGUAGAGGUAGCGUGCCGACGGCGAUCACAUCGACUUUGGAACCGUUUCCCACGCGCAUCGUCACCUCGUCCUUG